UUUGUGUUUCAGAAGAUUUCAGUGUUUUGAAGUUAACCAAGGUUAUCCUUGAGGCGUUCGGUUCAAAGCCUGAUUCUGAUAGACUGGAUAAGCUCCAGCUUCAGUUGAAGAAGAGAUUGGAGGGAAAUGAAUUCUUGCUUGUUUUAGAUGACGUUUGGAAUGAAGAUUAUGAUGAAUGGGAUAGGUUUCUUACCCCCCUGAAGUUCGGAGCACAAGGGAGUAAGAUUCUUGUCACAACACGCAAUGAAAGUGUAGCAUCAGUCAUGAGAACUGUUCCAACUCAUCAUCUAAAAGAAUUGACGGAAGACAGCUGCUGGUCUGUGUUCGCCAAACAUGCAUUUCGUGGUGAAAAUCCCAAUGAUUAUGAAGAGUUGCUAGAGAUUGGCAAAGCUAUAGCAAGAAAGUGUAAAGGCCUUCCUCUAGCUGCAAAAACACUCGGAGGUCAACUACGCACCCAAAGAGAUGCCGAGGAGUGGGAGAAGUUAUUGGAAAGCAAUCUAUGGGAUUUACCCAAUGAAGGUAUCCUCCACAUCUGAAGCAAUGUUUUGCUUAUUGUGCCAUAUUUCCAAAAGACUAUUCAUUUAAAAAGGAUGAAUUGGUUCUCUUUUGGAUGGCAGAGGGCUUCUUAGACCCCUCUGCAGUAGAUGAUGAGAUGGAAAAAGCAGGUGCUAUGUGCUUUGAUGAUCUCUUGUCAAGGUCCUUUUUCCAGCAAUCAAGUGUCUCUCGCUCAUCAUUUGUGAUGCACGAUCUCAUGCAUGACUUGGCUACCCAUGUGUCCGGUCAAUUUUGCUUCAGCUCCAGGUUGGGGGAAAAUAAUUCUUCCAAGGCCACCAGAAGGACUCGACAUUUAUCACAUACGGGAGCCGGUUUUCGCAGCACAAAAUUGGAAAACAUCCGUGAAGCCCAACUUAUACGCACAUUCCAAAAUUGGCAUCAUUUUCCUGGUUGGUACUAUAAAGAGAUCUUUCAUAUAUUGCCAACACUUGGGCGCCUACGUGUGCUAUCCUUGUCUGUCCAUCCCGGUGCAGCUAAGAUGCUUUGUUCAAUUAGCAAGUUGAAGCAUUUGCGGUAUUUGGAUCUCUCGUCGUCAGAAUAUUUAGUAACGUUGCCUGAAGAAGUGAGUGCUCUUCUCAAUUUGCAAACGUUGAUCUUGAAAAAGUGCCAACAACUUGCUAGUCUACCUGAUCUUGGAAAUUUGAAGCAUUUACGACAUCUGAAUCUUGAAGGAGCAGGAAUCAAAAGGUUGCCUGCAUCUCUGGUAAGGUUAAUCAACUUGCGGUAUCUUAACAUCUCAUGGACGAAUUCUUUGAAAGAGAUGCCACCACAUAUAGGUCAACUUGCAAAGCUCCAAACGUUGACUUUAUUUCUCGUGGGAAGACAAAGUGAGAAUAGCAUUAAAGAAUUGGGAAAGCUACGACAUCUACGGGGAAAACUUCAUAUUGAGAACCUUGAAAAUGUGGUGGAUGCUCGGGAUGCUGCUGAGGCAAAUUUGAAAUGUAAAAAGCUUGAUCAUCUGAUCUUUAGCUGGAAUGGUAAGACUCAUGACCCGCAACACGUAACAAGCACACUUGAGAAAUUAGAGCCAAAUAGAAAGGUGAAGGAUCUUCAGAUUUACUGUUAUGGAGGUGUAAGGUUUCCGGAGUGGGUAGGAGACUCCUCUUUCUCAAAUAUAGUGUCCUUGAUGCUCUAUGGAUGUACAAACUGCACCUCCUUACCACCGCUCGGACAAUUAGCUUCUUUAGAGGAUCUCUCCAUUAAUGAAUUCCACAAAGUUGAGACUGUGGGCUCCGAGUUCUAUGGGAAUCGUACCGCUGUGAAGAAGCCAUUUGAAUCCCUCAAAAAAUUAUGUUUUGUAAGGAUGGCAGUGUGGCGCGAGUGGAUUUCAGACGAAGGCAGCCGGGAAGCCUUCCCUCUUCUUGAUGAGCUUACAAUCGUGGAAUGCCCCAACCUUGCAAAGGUCCUACCUAGUCACCACCUUCCAUGUGUAACAAGACUUGAAAUUAGAGCAUGUGAGCGGCUCGCGGCCCCAUUUCCCAGGUUUCAUAGGUUGCAAUCCCUCGAUGUUUCUGUAAACCGCGACUGGCCACCUUCUAAGCAAAUGGGCUGGGCUGCUCUCAAAUGCUUCGCCCUGGACUUGGUCCCCAACUUAAAUUCUCUUUCUAUCUCUUCCUGUCCAGAUCUGGAAUCACUAUGUGCACAUGAAAGACCUCUCAACGAUCUCACCUCUCUCCAUUCUUUGUCUAUCUGGGGGUGCCCUAAAUUAGUUUCAUUUCCCAAAGGAGGGUUACCUGCUCCAGUCUUGACACGACUUGUGUUAAAUCAUUGCAACAACCUGAAGCAGUUGCCUGAGAGUAUGCAUUCCCUCCUACCAUCCCUUAACCACUUGGAAAUAAGAGGUUGUUUAGAAGUUGAGUUGUGUCCAGAAGGGGGUUUUCCCUCCACAUUACAAUCACUUGUGAUUAGUAAUAGCAACAAACUCAUUGCAGGCCGCAUGCAAUGGGGCUUGCAAACGCUCCCUUCUCUUUCACGCUUUGUUAUUGGUGGCCAUGAAAAUAUUGAAUCCUUCCCUGAAGAGAUGCUUCUGCCCUCAAGUCUUACAUCUCUCAGCAUCAUUGGCCUAAAACACCUGAAAUCUCUUGACUACAAGGGGCUUCAACACCUCACCUCUCUUACAUCAUUGAGAAUAAUUAUCUGCCCUCUGAUUGAGUCAAUGCCAGAAGAAGGGUUGCCCUCCUCCCUUUUUAUUCUUGAUAUUUACUAUUGUCCAAUGCUGGGUGAAAGUUGUGAAAGGGAGAAAGGUAAAGAUUGGCCCAAGAUUUCUCACAUUCCUUACAUAGACAUCAGCACAGCAAAGAAGUAGCAGUUAAAAGGAGCUUUUCUUUCGAUCAAAGGCAACAUAUUUUUUUGAGGUAUUGCUACUAAAUAGUUUAUUUUCUUUUCUGUAAUCAAAGGCAAUUUCAGUUAAAAUUUGGAUGAAUGAAGUACAGAUAUUGUCCAUUUUGUAUUGUUUUUAUUUGUUGGAUGUUGAAAUACAGAUAAUUUCUUCCAUAAAUAAUAAUCAUCAUUCUGUUUCAAUAUAUCGAGCUGGAGGAUCAUCACAUGCUUCAGAUUUUGAACUGCCAGCACUAGUAAUUAUAAAUCCAUUGUUAAAAAGGAUUAAAAAAAUUAAAUUAUGUAAGUAAUUUGCAACGGAUUUUUCAUUAUUCACGUGCUUGGCAACAUCAAAUCUGCAACUGAUUCCAAAGAUAAAUCAAACCCUUAAUUAUAUAAAAUCCCCAUCCUUUCUCCUUUUCUCUUUUCCCGCAUCUUCAAAAAUUAAAAAAAAUAAAAUUCUCCAUCUCUUUCUCUAGUCUCUUCCCUUCUCCAAAAAUUCAAAAUUCAAAAACUUUUUUUAUCUUUUAUUUAUUAUUUAACUUUGAUUAGAUUGUUUUUAUUCCAUAUAAAGCAGAAGUUAAAAAAUGAUUUUGGAGUGCAUGUAAGUCAUAUCAUUUUUGGAGUGUACUUUGAUAAAAAAACAGACAUAAAGAGAGAAGAAAUAAAAUUCAUGACUCUUUAUCUUGCCCAAAAUAACAGCGAGGGCUCAUGGAUGCUGCACCAGGGUAAAGCUACAAAUGCCAACGCUGAUGAAGAGUUACAAGAAAUUGGUAGAGCAAUAGUGAGGAUUGUCUGAUGUUCAUCUAUAAUAGCAGCAGAUAAAUAAUUGUAGCUGAAGAAAAGAAUGGUGUGCGAGAGCAAUUUCAUAGAAAUGAAACUGCUUUUAUUGGACGUGAAACUUCUUGCCUCCAAUAUUUGUGUUUUGAUCUUCUAGCCUUUUGGUGUUCUAUGGCUUUGUUGCUGCCUUUUAGUCUUUUGGUGUUCCACGGUGCUGCUGCUUUUUGGCUCUUGAUUUAAUGGAAAUGCUGUCCUUGUAUCGUUUGGGUUUUGGCAUCGUUGGCUCCUGCCGUUGUCUGUUCUCCGGUCAUCGAAGCUGACAGCAAUCCUCCGACUCUGUUAUUGCAGUCAGAUGCUUCCUCAGUUUUAUCCUUUGGUCAUUUUCAAAAUCAGAUACUCCUGUAAAUAUUACAAAACAACUGUGACACUGCUUUUACUAUAUCUUAAUAGCUAUUUUUUCUUGGGAUAUUUAAUUUAAUUUACAAUAAAUUCUGGUUAAUUUACAAUAAGUUUAUAUAGCUUGAAAGUGAAGCUCAUCUUCUAUUUAGUUUUCUUAAAUAUAUAAUUUUAAAUUAAAUUACUUUUAAAAUAAUUUUGAGUAUAUCUUACAUGUUUAAACAUUAACUUUGUUGGAUGGAUGCAUUUUUUAUUGUAAAAAAAAAAACUUCAAAAAAAAAUUUUCUAACAAAAAAAAUGUUUUUUUAGAAAAAAUAUGAUUAAAAAACGUUUUAAAAACUCAUGGUCUAAAAUGGACAUUACUGAAAAGCUACUUUUUUCCAAGUAUUACAUAGGCAAGUAUGCGUAUAUGUUUAGGGUGAUAGGUAUGGGUCGAGUAGUAGCAAAAUAUUUUUUAAUGGUAAAACAUGAGAUAGGCUCAUUCACCUCUUUACCGGUCUUUAUUUCUUAAUAAAUUUUAUCCAAAUAUUUUUUUUAAAUGGAUAAAAUGGAUUAUAAUAUUUGUAAUGGAUAAUGACUGUUAAAAAAAAAAUUAAACUCAAAUUAUAAUUUUGCAAAUUUUAGUAUUUAAAAUAAAAUAAUUCAUAAGUGGUGAUUAAAGAGGUUACUAUCUUGGGUAACAUUCAAAUUCCAUCUAUGGGUGUUCUCUGAAAACUUGGCAAAUCCUCGCAAUCGUUGUUCUCUGAAAUCUGUAAAGAACGUUGUAGGAGUUCUAAAUCCUAGCACCCACCCAGCAUUGUUUUGAAGAAGUAUACCUUCUUUACUUGUUCUUUACCCUUUUUUAUGUUUGUAAUUCUUAUAUACAAGCAUUUGCUUUGAUUUUUUUGUCAGGAAAGUAUUAUGUAAACUAGAUUCAUUAUUUCUAAUUUGUAAGAGAAUAUAUGAUCAUAUUUAAAUACAUUAACAAAUUAAUUUCCUCAUUUCUCUUAAUUUUUAAGAAAAUCUUUCUUCUAUUAUAAUUAUAGUUAUUGUUUUUUUAAAUCUAAAAUCAAUGUCAUGGUUAAAUAGAAUGGUAUGUUAUCCUUAUUUUUAUUAAAUUAAAUUAAAAUAAAAAACUAAAUUUCUUAAACAAAUUACUGUUUACUAUGACCAUGAUAAAGUUGUUCUUUAACCGCUAAACCUUUUAACCCUUUAUGAUUUUUUAAUUUACAAAUUGUUUUCAAAUUAAGGAAAUUCUUAAGAAAAUCUAUCAUAUUAUAUAUAUUUUUUAAUAUCACCCCUUUAAUUUUUUAAUCGUUUAAAUUUAAUCUUUAUUAUUUUUCAUUGCUUUUUGUUUUUACAAUUUUAUUUUCCUUGGGUUUUUUUUCUAUGAAAUGGUAUCCUUAUUUUUUUUGUUGCUAUAUCUUUUAUUUUUGCAAGUUUUUUUAUUGAACCCGGGUCUAGAAUUACACGAGUUGCCAGUUUUAGAGUUUGACCAAGUUUAGUAGGUUUAUCCGACUUUACUUGGUUUUUUUUUUCUUUCUUGAGCUGAUUUUUUUUAUUUUUUUAUAGUUUUGCUUUGUUAUUUUUAACAGCUUAUCUUUUAUAAAGUUAGCCCUGAGUUUAUGACUAGAAUCAUCGGUUUCAAUGGGUUAACAUGAGAUGAUUUUAAAUUUUUUUAAUUAAUUUAUUUCAAUUUCAUCAUUCUUUUUUUUUUAUAUUUUUUUUUUCUAUGAGACUAUCUCAAUCUUAUAUUCAUGGUUGCGAAGUUGAUGAGUUUACCUGGUUUAAUAGAGUUUUUUAUAGUUUCACCUUUUGUUAGAUAAUUCGGAGGGCUCAAUUCUGUUUUUUUUUUAGUUUUUUUGUCAUUGUUAUUUUUUUAAUUAAUUUAUUGUAGUUGUAUUUUUUAUAUAUAUUUUGAACCAAUUAGUUGUAUCUCAGUUUUUUUUUAAUGUAAUAUUAUUUUUUUAAGUUAAAAAAAUACUUCCUCUCGCAGUGGAGCACGGACACAUGUUCCAGGGUACAUUUUAUAAGAUAUGAUCCGAGGAUACGAUGUAGAUUUUGUUAAGGAGGUUGUGUAUUAAUUUGUUAAUAUGCAUACUGCCUACUUGUGGAACUGAGUUGCAUAGCUGAGUGGUACUUGCAGGUUCAAAUGGUUUGAAGAUUCUGAAACAUUAUUAAUUUGUGCUCAAACUCUUUGCAUUUCAGCAUCCUCUACUGGUUGGUGCAGGCCUUAACUAAACGAAAAGGUGAUUUUAUUGUAUCUCUUUUUAUAAAAUAUUAUUUUUUUAAACAGUUAUAUCCUUUAAAAUUAUAUUUAUUAAGAAUUGAAUUUUAUAACUUUUAUAAUUUAUUUAUUUACUUUAUCAAACUUCUGCUGCAUGAUCACAUGAUUCACAUCACGUGAAAAGCUUGGCAUUUAGUGAUGUUUUUCCAAUCAAACCCCCUUUUUUCAAAGAUGGAAUCUCGAGGUAAAUAAAUCAAAGACAAAACCGAGUAAAAUGGAGUCCUGAGCAUAACAAGGGCCGAGAGAGAAAAGGCUUUUGCGAGUUCUGUGUUUUGUAUACUUCUCAAGGGGAAAAAAUAAUGUUUUGUUAGAGAAUUGUUUUUGAUAGAAUUGUUAGAGAUCUUAGCCGAUGCAUCUGGAUUAUAAUUUUUUAGCAUUUAUACUAUUUUAUAGCGCUAAUAUCUUAAAAAACUUAUUUUCUAGCUUUUUUUUCAUGGUAUAAUGAAAUAUUAAAAAAUAUUCUUCAACUCAUUAUCCUUAUUACAAUUAAAUUUCAUAGAAUAGUCUAUUUGUUUAGAAAUAUAGUUUACUGUAUGAUUUAUUUGAUACAAAAAAUUCACUAGAAACUAAAAAAAGAAGAAGCUAAUCAUCAUUUAAAAAUAUAGAAUAUUGGAAUCAUCUUGCUCAAUAGGUGAGUUUGGGAGUUUGGUUGCUUAACAGGUGAGUGAAGGUUAAAUGUACCCAAUUAAAUCAUAUCUACAUUCAAUUAAAACUUAUGGUAUAAUUACUUGAUAGCAAAAUAAAGAAAAGUAGGAACCUGUAACAUCUAAGAAAUUUCUAUGCUCUUAAAAUUAAGCGUCCAAACUAAGGCUAUAAUGAGUCUUGAAUCUACACAGAAGAAAUUUCAUGGGAAAUGUAAUUUCAAAGACCAUGACUCAAAUCAGCGGCUAAAAUCCAAUCACUCAAGGGAUGGUGACAUGUUGCCUUGAGUGGGAGACAGCUGGUCUCUAGUACGAAGAGAAACAACAAUAUAAUUUUUUUUUUAUUAAAAGUGAGUGUAUGAGCUUCCAUGUAUUUUAAUUUAUUUUAUUAAUUUUAAAAUUAAUAAUUAUAUAAAUUUUUAGUAAUUCUAAAAAGAUUUGAAUUCAUAAUUAUUAAAAUAUAAAUAUAAAACCUAAUCAAUUAGUACCCCCACAGCAGUGUUUUCAUUGUUUAAAAUGGAGUGUUUGUUUUUCUUAGAGCUCGUUUGGGUACGCGUUUGCGUUCGCGUUUCUUCGAAAACGCAUGACAAUGCUGUUUGGUUACAGAUCGUUGAACAAUUAAAAUACAUGGGCCCCACCAUUUACCUGCGGCUGGAACACAAUUUUUUAAAAGCAGCAAGAUACUGCUUUUUUACGAGUUUCAACAAUAUUCACCAGCGAAUUGCACUGUUCACGUGACUUUCUUUCUUCUUCUUUUUUUAACAGUUUUUUUUUAUAAUUUUUUUUUUAAAAAAAAGUAGUUUAGAGUGAAUUAAAUUUACUUACAUUGUGAUGUGAGCAAUAUUUUUUUUCCCUGAAAAACUAGUAUAAAAUGAAUUAAAUUCACUCAAUUUUAUACCUGAUAAUGUUUUAUCUAAUUUUAUUACACGCUCACAAAAUUAUAAAAACUGUAGUUCUUAUUGGCUGAAUUUUAUACAUAUUGGAAUUAUAAAUAAUUUAAUGGAAUAAUAAAAAAUAUUUUAUAUAAAGUAUUAUUUAUUUCAUAAUGUAAUAGGAGUAGUUAAUUCUACAAUAUUUAAAUUUAAAACCAUCAAUAUUAAUAUAUAUUUUUUAAAAUUAUUUUAUAACCUCAAUUUCAAAAGCAUUAUUAACUAAACACAUUAAACUACUUUUUCUUCAACCUCAAUUUCAACCACAAUUUUAACCAAACAUCUAUUUUUUUAAACCAACCUCAACUAAAAGUACUUUUUAUAAAACAACUUUUUUCAAACCACAACCACAACAGCUACCGCAAUACCAAACAGACUCUUAGUGUUUUUGUUCUUGUCAUAGCUCAUGAUGGCGGGGGCUUAAAAAACAUUUAAAGAAAUUAUUUUUUCUUGUGAUUUAUUUGAUUUAAAUAAGUAUUUAAUUAAAAUUAUAAUUAAAAAUGUUGUUUAAUAAAAAAUAUUUUAAAAUAUUUAAUUAAAAUUAUAAUUAAAGAUAUAUUGUAACUAGAAUUACUAUAAAAAAAGAUCCUAGUGAAGGUGGAGAGGAUGAGAAUAAUGAUUGGAUAUCUUAAUAAUUGUAAAAAGAAAGUAUCUUUUUAUGGUGAAGUUAUCGGUAGAUGAGAAAAUACUGAGUUUUGUAGCUCAGAAAAAAACGUCAUUCAACUAAUAAAAUGAUCCAUCUACAUAAUAAUAAUAAAAAAAACCCGCCAUUCCCACGUGUGGAAGAUAAAAUUAAUCAACCUAAUCUUAUUGGAUUACAUUUUAUUAUUUAUAUCAAACAAUCAGUAUCCUUAAUACUGAUUAAGGAUAUUUUUGUUUUUGCACAACUAUACAUUUUAAUAUAAUAAUUUUUUUAAUCUAAUUUUUUAUUAUUAUUAUUUUAGUAUCAUUUUGUUAUUUCUAACAGUUUGCGUUUACAAGGUUAGUCUUGAAUUAUGACUAGAAUCAUCAAUUCUAAAUAGGAAUGUAAGUUGAUUUUUAUUAUUUUUUAAAAUUAAUUUAUUUAAAUUUUAUCAUUAAAUUUUUUUUUUCAUGAUUUCUUUUUAAGAGACUAACCCUUUAUCGACAAACACUAAUGUACUCUGAAAAACAUAAUCCUAUUGCAUCUUACGCUUUAAAUUCCAACAAGGAGUAGGAACCCUGCAUCUGGGAAAUUUUUACUAGGCCUCCAAUCUGAGGCUGUAAAGAGCUGAUGGGUUGAUGUCAGAGGUAGACAAGGAACCGUACUUUCAGAAGACCAUGACACAAAUCAACGGCUGGAAUCCAAUCACUCAAGGGAUGGUGUCAUGUUGCCACGAGUGAGAGACAGCUGGUCUCCAUCUGAAUGUUUAAAUAUGAUUGGGUAUCUUAGUAAUUGUAUAACAAUUGAUUUUUUUUUUUUAAAGUUGUCGGUGUGGAUGAAAAAUACUGAGUUUGUAGCUUAGUAAAAACAUGUUGAUGUUACUUUUUAUUAGCUCAUGGUUGGCCCAUAAAUUGUAAUAGGUCCCACAAUCACAAACCUACUAUUCACAUGUAAUUUAUGUCUUACAACUUGUUUUUUAAAUUAUUAUUUUUAUAUUUUUAUACCAUUUUUAUUUUAAAAAAUUUAAGUUUAAAAAAUAUUAUUUUAAUAUAUUUUUAAAUAAAAAAUAUUUUAAAAAACAAUAAUAUCUGAAUGUUUUAUAAAUUUUUACAAUCACUUUUACAUUUUUUUUAGAUCACAUUUGAGAAUGCAGUACACCACAAUAAAGUUUCGUUGUUGCUACAUGAUUAAAGGUAAGUAAUUGUCUUGCAUUUACCUUUAAAACUGCUAUCAAGAAUUAAUUAAUUGCGUCAAUUCAAUUAUUUCUAUUGACAUUGAUACCAAACAUGUUAAUUCAUGAUAUAAUUAAGCAAUUCAAUACAAAUUUACUAAUAUAAUUUAUUCCGGCGUAAAGCUUUGAAUAUAGCCAAAUGCAGAGGUUAUGCAAGUGAAAUACCUUAAUAAUUAAAUUAAAAAAAGAAAACAAAAUAUAAUGUAUAAAAUAUAAUAAUAUAAUUUAUAAUUUAUUUAUUUGCUUUAUCAGUGAAAAUUGAAAAGAGAUGGAAGGAGGGAGAGAGAAGAAAUAAAUUGAAGUCUUCUGCUGCCUGAAGAGCUUGGCUAGUGAUGUUUUUCGAUCAAACCCACUUUUUUCAAAGAUGGAAUUUCUCGGAAAAUGUGUGAUCCAGAGAAAAGCCUUUUGCGAGUUAUUAUGUUGCUGACACUGGAUAGAGACACUUCAACUAUCUUUUCAUUAUUUUGAGCGCAGUUGCCACCCACCUUUCUGUGGCUUCAUGCUCCUUCUCCAAACCAUUCAUAUAUAGUGCAGCCUGAGCUUUACUGGUUACGUUUCCUUUGAGGAUAAUUAUUGUUAAAUUAUUUUUUGUUUUAAAAUAUAUUAAAAUAAUAUUAUAUUUUUUAUAAUUUUAAUAUAAACACAUUAAAAUUAUUAAAAAAAUCAAUAAUUUAAUAUAUUUUUAAAUAAAAUAUAUUUUAAAAAAACAUACAUUACGAACUAUUCUCUCAAACACACAAUUUUAUUCCAUCUUAAAACUUGAGAUAUUAGAAUAGUCAAGUUCCCUCGUUAAAUUUACAAUUGUGGUAGUGGGAGUUGUAUAACUCAUUAAAAAAUAAAUUUUAUAUUAAAAUAAAAAUUUUAAAAAUAUAUUGAUUAAAAAUGUGAGGUGUUAUUCUGCAUUAUUAGCACAUCACGUGAAAAGAUAGAUUGGCAUAUAAUAAAAGCAAUCCCAAUCAAACCCAUUUUUUCGACGAUGGGAUCUCUUGGCAAAUAAAGCGAGGACAAACCGAGUAAAACAUGGGACCCAACUCCAUUUUCCUGGCACACGCAACUCACGCAUACACACACUCAUUUGAGAUAUUUUUUUUACUAUGGAGUUCAGGCAAAUAAAGUGAUGGAAGAAGGUCUUCUUCUGCGUGAAAAGCUUGGCAUUAAUGAAGUUUUUCCAUUCAAACCCACGCAUACACCCUGUAAUAUCUAGGAAAUUUCUCUGCUAUUUAAAUUAGGCGUACAAGCUGAGGCUGUAAUGAGCCCUUAAUCAACAUAGAAAAAAUUUCAUGAAAAUGGAUUAAUGUCAAAAAUAUAUUUCAAAAAAUCAUGACUCAAAUUAGUGAUUGAAAUCCAAUCACUUAAAAGAUGGUGACACGUUGUCAUGAGUGAGAGAUAACUGGUCACCAGUACAAAAAAAAACAGUAACGUUUUCAUUAUUUAAAAUGGAGUAUUUGUUUUGCUAAGUGUCUUUGUUAUCAUGAUAGCUCUUGUGGUGAUGGAUGUUUAAACAUGAUUGGACAUCUUAGUAAUUGUAAAAACAAUUUUUUUUUUUUUGGAUGAAGUUGUCGGUGGAUGAGAAAAUACUGAGUCUGUAGCUUAGUAAAAACAUGUUGAUGUUACUUUUUAUUAACUCAGGGUUGGCCCGUAAAUUAUAAUGGGUCCCACAAUCACAAACCUCUGAUUCACUUGUAAUUUAUGUUUUAUAACUUUUUUAUUUUAAAUUAUUAUUUUUUAUAUUUUUAUACCAUUUUUAUAUGAAAAAUAUUUUUUAAAAAAUAAAAAAUAUUAUUUUAAUAUAUCUUUAAAUAAAAAAUACUUUAAAAAACAAUAAUAUCAAACACCUAAAUGUUUUAUAAAUUCUCUACAUUCACUUUUACAUUUCUUUAGAUCACAUGAGAAUGCGGGACACCACAAUGAAGUCCGUGGUUGCUACAUGAUUAAAGGUAAAUGUCUUUUAAAACUGCUAUCAAGAAUUAAUUAAUUGCGUAAAUUCAAUUCUUUCUAUUGACAUUGAUGCCAAACAUGUUAAUUCAUGAUAUAAUUAAGCAAUUCAAUACAAAUUUACUAAUAUAAUUUAUUUCGGCUUAAACCUUUGAAUAAAGCAAAAUGCAGAGGUUGUGAAAGUGAAAUACCUCAAUAAUUUCUAUGCUUUACAACCCUAGGAGCCACACAAAAUAUAAUGCGUUUGUUACUAUUAAUUUAUUUAAAAAAUAAAUUAAAAUAUUUUUUAAUAUUUGAUUAUGUUAUAGAAAACGAGUCAAAAAAUAAUUUUUUAAUUUUUUUCUCAAGUUUAUUAAAAAAAUAAGAAACAAAUCUUACAAAUAAAAAUAUUGAAGGAGAAUGAAAUUGAAAAAUAUAUAUUUACAUAAAUUAUUUUAAAUAAAAUAAAUAACAAUCAUAAGAAUGAGAGCCAAAUAUGACAUAUAAAAAUAUUUAAUAAAAAAUAAAACAAUAAUAAAUAAAUAAAAUUAAUAUAAAAAUAAUACUAAACCAAGAAUUAAAUUAAAAAAAGAAAACAAAAUAUAAUGUAUAGUUUAUAAUUUAUUUAUUUGCUUUAUCAAUGAAAAGUGAUGGCAGGAGGGGAGAGAGAGGAAAUAAAGUCUGCUGCCUGAUCACAUCACGUGAAGAGCUUGGCAUUUAGUGAUGUUUUCCGAUCAAACCCACUUUUUUCAAAGAUGGAAUUUAUUGGAAAAUAAAUGAAAGACAAACCGAGUAAAAUGGAGUCCAGAGCAUACAAGAGCCGAGAUUGAAACAGGAAAUGCAAGAAAAAGAAGAUGGGCCCUUGUUUUCUCUUUUUACGGCCGGCGACCGGAUAUAAAAAGGAAGGAGAUGAAGCUUUCAAAUUAUUUAUAAUUUUGCGGUCACUUAUUGUGUCCAUGUCAUUUUGUGUAAUUGCCCAGCUACAAUUUAUAAAUGAUGUAAACUCUUAAUUUUUAAUCGAUGUAAAAUGUUGGAGUAUCAUGUUGCUGAAAAAAUCUUUUUAAGUGUAUAAUAUGUUGCAUUUGGGGCAAAAUUAAUAGUUUUGAAUGUUUUUAUUACCGAAACCUUUUUUUUUUCUCAACCUCUUUCUCUCUCUCUUCUUGUCAAAUACAAAAGUUUUUUUUUUUCAUUUUUUUAAAUGAUUUAAUUUUAAUUUUAUUUUAUUUUAUUUUUAUCUUUUGUAGAUUUGUAUUUUAUCGUUUGAUUUUAUUUAAUUGUUUUUAUUAAACAUGACCUUUAUUUACUUUAUUUAUUAUUUUUUUAAUUAAACGUUCUCUUAACAUUUAUUUUCAAUAUCAGAUUUAAUUAAUCAUAUUAAUCCUAUUUUAUCUUACACUUUAAAUUCCAACAAGUACCCGAUCCAACAAUAUCUGCAUUCACACUUGAGGGUCUAACUUAUUGGUCAACUGCAAGACUUGUCUUUGCGAACGUCUUGGGUUCGAUCCUCUUUGUGUACCCUGUCACCCCGCGGUGUCUUACCUGUUCACCGGGCUUGCAGGAUAUUCAGUGGACUCGAGGAUUAGUUGUGAUGCGCGCAAGCUGACCCGAACACCUCGGGUUAUAAAAAAAAAAAAAACAAUAUCUGCAUUCAAUUAAAACUUAUGGUACAGCGAAAAAAAAAAAAAAGAGUAGGAACCAACUAAGAAAUUUAUGUGCUGUUCCCAGCUAUGUUGCUGACACUGGACAGGAGAGACUUCUUCAACCACCGAUAAAAUUAUUUUUAUUAACUUUUUGUGCAAUUUGUUACUUUGUUUCGAUCUUUCUCUCUUUGCACCACAAACACUUGGACACGGUAGAAACCAAGCACGGUUUUUCUGUCAAUGUACGAUACCGUAUUUAACAAUAUCUUUUUAUUUUUAUUUUAUGAAGAGUAGUAUGUUGGUGAUCUAUGUAUGUUUUUUUUAAAAAUCACAUAUAUAUUUAUCUAAAAUUAUUGAUAUUUAAAAAAUUACAUUAUUUUUUUAAUGACUCCUUCCACUGUUCUUGUAGAAUUAAGCAAAUAUUAUGCAAAGCUUCAAGUUUUGUGUAAUUGUUUUUAAUACAAGAGAGUUUAACCAUUUUAAAAUGUUUAAUGAGUUCUUUAAAAUAUUGAAAGUAAUGUACAAAAACUAAUUUAUAAUUUUAUUACAGAUCGUGCUUUAUUAUAGGUCAAGUCAAGUUUUUCUUAAGAAUAAAAAAUUAUUUAAAUUAUGAAUGUUUUAAUUUAUUCUGGUAAAAAAAAUUUAAAUCAUGAUGUGAUCUAACUUGAUUGAAUUUGUAGUUCACAAAACAACCUAGAUAACAAAUAAAAAUAUAAUUUAACUUAUAAAUUUUUUCAAGAUUACAUAUAUUUUUUUAAUAUUAAGAUAAUAACAAAUUAAAUUGAUUUGGAUAAACUCAAUUUAACUUAUUAAAUUCAUAACCCGUGUUAUGAGACUAUGAUAAACCUGUAAAAAACAAAUUAUUAAGUUUAAUUCUCAACCACCAAAUAUUAAAAGAUAAAAUUAAAAUAAAUAAAUAAACCAUGUGGAGAUUAACUCAAUAUGACUUAAUUGAUUUAGCUUGUUCAAAAACAACCAAGAUAAUCACUAGAAAUAUAAUCUGACUUGGAAAAAAUUUCAAGAUGAUAUUUUUUUUUAAUAUAAAGAUAACAAAGUAAUAGAUCGAAUUGGGUUAAGCAGAGUUAGCUUGUUAAAUUUUUUAUUUGGGUAUGAGACUAUGAAAUCUAAUUCCUAAGCAACCAAAUAUUGAAUGGUAUAAUUAAAAAAAUAAUCAAUUAAAAAAAUGAUUUAAAAAUAUGAACGGAGUUAACAUGUCAAGUCCAUAACCUAUCUUAUAAUAAAGAUAUAAUCUUAUAAAAAAAAUCAAAAUAAAUUAUGAAAUUCAAUCUUAAACAGCUAAAUUUUAAAAGAUAAAAUUUUAAAAAAAUAAUUUUAAAAAGAACAUAAAAAUGACCUAAGUAAAUCCCCCAAACCCAUAGCUUAUUAAGAGAUCGUGAUAAUCUUGUAAAAAAAAAAUUACAUGAUUUAACUCGUUAAAUUUAUGACUUUGGUUACAAUACCGAGACAACCUCUUAAAGAGUAAAUAAAAAUAAAUUGAAAAGUGCAAUCCCUAAUUGACCAUGUCAAACCCGAUGUGAACGAUGCAAUUUUUAAAAUUUUGAAUUAAAAAAUAACAUAAAAAAUAAUUUAGGUUAACCCAUUAAGCAUCAUUCUUAGAUUACGAGACCAGGAUAACAUAAUAAAAAUAAAAUCAAAACAAACCACAAAGUCUAAUUCCUAAUAAAACAUUAUUAAAUAAUAAAAUUGAAAAAAAAAAAGUUAAUUAAAAGAAAUUUGAGUCAAUUAGGCUAACUUGCUAAGCCUGCAAGUUAGGUUAUGAAACAUAAAUAACUCAAUAAAAAACAAAUUUACUAUUGAAGGACUAGUGACGCAGGUCAUGAAAUAAAGAUAACCUUUUACAAACAAAAUUAAAAAACAACUCAAUUUAAUUUGGAUUAAAAUGUCAAAACCUUCGUCUCUAAUCAUGAGACUAGGAUAACCAUGUAGAAAAUAAUUUGAAAUAGAUUAUGAAGUUUCAUUCUCAACUGACCUGAUAUCGAAUGAUAAAGUUGGAAAAAAAUUCAAUUAAAAAAAUAUAAAAUACAACCUGAGUCAACUGAGGUUAACCUGUUAAGUAUUAUUUCCGGGUUACGAGGUUAGAAUAAUCUAAUAUAAAUUAAACAAAACAAAACAUGAAACUUAAUUUUUAAUUAAAAGAUAAAAUUGUAAAAAAAAGUUAAUAAAAAAAAAUCAAGUUAACUUUUUGUUAUAAAAGUGAGACAACUUAAUAAAAAAAAUUAAUAUUAAAAUAAAAAAAAUCAUUAAAAAAUACUCAUUCAAAUAAUUGUAUAAAACAUAAUAAUAUAAACUAUAAUUUAUGAUUUAUUUAUUUAUUUUAGUAUUUAGUGAAGUCUUUUCAAUCAAACCCUUUUUUAAAAAGAUAUAAUUUCUAGGAAAAUAAAUUAAAGACAAACCGUGUAAAAUUCUAAAAGAAAAUAAAGAUGGGAUAUUGUUUCAGUUGCGGCUUGGAUACGUGUUUCAAAAAUAUUUUUAAAAAAAAUAUAUUUUUUUAAUUUUAAAUUAAUAAAUUUUUAGUUUUUUUAGAUCUUUUAAUAUAUUAAUAUUAAAAAUAAUUUAUAAAAAAUAAAAAUAUUUUAUUUUAAUAUAUUUUUAAAUAAAAAACAAUAAGAGACAACCGUGACCACUUAAAUGAAGCAUACCAAGUUGAGAGUUGAGGAGCCGAGAGAGAAAAAGCUUUUGCCAGUUCUUUACGCAAAUUCUUUCCCCUUCUGUCACCUGAACAAAAUCCCCUCUUCUUCUUCUUCUUCUUCUUCUUGUUUGUUUACUCUUCCUUCGUUACUUUGCAAAGAGGAGAAACCAUGGCCGGGGCUUUAGUAGGAGGAGCUUUUCUUUCUUCUUUCCUUAAUGUUUUGUUCGACAGGAUGGCCUCUCCCCAGGUGGUGGCCUUCUUCAGAGGGAAAAAAGUCAACGAUAGUAAUCUGCUGCAGAAGUUGAAGACAACAAUGACAUCUCUCAGGGUGGUGCUUGACGAUGCUGAGGAGAAGCAGAUAACAAGUUCAGCUGUGCGGGAUUGGCUGGCCGAGCUUAAAGACGCUGUCUAUAAAGCCGACGACUUCUUGGAUGAGAUUGCUUAUGAAGCUCUACGGCAGGAGUUGGAAGCUGAAGAUCAAACCUUCACAAGUCAGACGCAGAAGCUUCUUUCUUUCAUUAACCCACUUGAAAUAUUGGGGUCGAGAGAGAUCGAAGAAAAAUUAAAAGUCCUCUUGCAGGAUCUAGAUCCCUUAGUUGAACGAAUGGCAGCCCUUGGUUUGAACAACCGCAAUGUAGAAAAUCCACCAUCGCAUAGAACACCAACAACUUCUCUCGUGGAUGAAUCUGGUGUUUAUGGUAGAGAUGAUGACAGGGAAGCAAUACUGAAGUUGCUUCUAUCAGAGGAUGCAAAUGGAGAAAACCCUGGUGUCGUCCCCAUUAGGGGAAUGGGCGGGGUUGGUAAAACCACGCUUGCUCAGCUUGCUUCCAUUCUCUCCUUUUCUCCUUAUCCGCAUCUUCAAAAAUUCAAAAUCUUUUCCCCACCUCUUUCUCUAAUCUAUUCCCCUUCUCCAAAAAUUCAAAAUCCAAAAACUUUUGAUUUAUUUAUUUUAUUAUCACUUAACUUUGAUUAAAAAACUUUUCUUGAAGUUUACUUCCAUCAAAGAUCUUUUAUAGAUAUAAAAAGAAGAGAUAAUAUAAAAUUCAUCCGCGUAUUGGAAUCACAAUUCAGAAUCAAGUUAAAGCGGCCAAUGUCACUCGAGAGAGUAGGCACUUGCAAAUCUGCUAAUAAUUAUUGGAGCAUCACCCUUCCGCACAAUCAACAGAAAGUCAUCAUCUUGAGAACCCACAGCAAAGAGUUCAUUUUUUUGCAGUAGAUACGUAGCUAUAUUAACAACGAUACUUCCAGCAUGCACAAAUGGGACUUCUUGAUGGUUACGCUGCUAAAGACAUUUACAAAUCCCCAUCAAUACUGGUGUUUAUUCCUCAUGAUGAUCCAGUGAGCUGACAAUAAAAGAAAACCUCGGCAUUACUAGUAAAUCGUCACUGCAAGCAUGGAAGAGAUUCAGGUAGGAAUUACCCUUGUCUUCAUUGAGAGGCUUUAACCUCCCUUGUCAGCAGGCCCAUGGUUCGAUGCAUCCUCUGAAGCGUCUAAGCAAGGAUUGCUUUUACACUGACUUACAGGCUGAGAAAGUUGGGACCCCUUUUGCGAAAAGUUUGGUUUACCUUUCGGAGUCUCAGACAGGCUUCCCGUUGACAGCUUUGCUAGGCCCAUUGUCUUGUGCUCACGCGGGAGCUUUGUUGAAAAAGGUGAUUCAGGUGUAUCAGGAUGCUUCCCAGGAAUAUCCAUCGGUCUAUGAAACAGCAAAUGAGCCACAGUCCGGUCUACCGGAUUGGUCUCUGUUUCCACCUCAGGCAUCUUAACCACCCUGCAGUAUACUCAUAAAAUCCAUGAGGAAAAUGACAGGAAACUUUGAGAUUGCCAUACUCUAAACAAAUUGAUAAAGACUUGAUUAAUAAUUUUGUGCAAACAAAUUGAAUGAUUUGAAAUGGGAAGGACGAGAUGUAAAGGAACAAACCCAUUGGAACAAGAAACAAUCACAUUGUCGCUUACAACAAAAAAUCGAGUUUCAGAUCAAAACAGCUUAUGGUUUUGGCUGGAAGUGUCCCAUUUAGACAUUGAUGAGCCGAUUAGAAGAUGAUUUGAGUUCUUAAAUUUCUUGCUUAAAAUGUAAUGUAUCAUGAUUCUGCAGAUGAUCAUUAAAUUAGAAGGGAAAUUUAAUUUUGCCCUGUUUAUCUAAAGUUGUGCAAGUUCUCUGCAUUGAUGAUUCCAGUGAAUUUGUACAGAUCUUGUUUUCCUUCUAUUUGUCCUUGAAUAAACUUAUUGCACUUGUUGAACAAUCUUUGUUUCUCUCUCUUAGUUAAAUCUAGUAAAAUUUAUCAUGUAUGUUGUGCCACUCAUUUAGACUUGGAUGUGCGUGUUUAGCUCUUCUUUUCGGAUUAAGGUGAUUAUGCACAAAUUCACUGGAAUCAACAUUGCAGAAAACUUGCAUAGAUUUUGUUAAUAUUGGAAAAAUUAAAUUCGUUUUCUAAUUAAAUGAAAAUCUCUCCUAAAUAUUAUGCUAUUUGAAUUGUCACCUCAUGACUACUUGCUGCACUGCACUCAUGAAUGCUGCACCAGGGUAAAGCUACAAAUGUCAGUUUAAUAUCUGCCUCUACCUAGGUUGGCCUACAUACAAUACCAAAGCUUCUCUCAACUAAAUCAAGACAUGAUGACCAGCACUCACAAUCAUAACAGAACCAGUGGAAGCGAACUACUACAUAUUUGAUCAACAAGGUCAAAUUCAGUCAAGUUUUUAAGGAAAUCCAGUGAAAGAGGAACCUAAAAUUUUCUGUUUAGAUUUUCUUCUACUUCUAAGAACAAGCGCUGCCUUAAUUGAAUUGUUUCAGUCACUAUUCCUCCAUUGUAAAUAGAGGAUACCGUUUUCAAUAUUUAUUUCCAGAGUGAGAAUGGAAAACAGAAAAUGGUGAUGGCAUUAAAAGAUCCUAAUUUAACAUUUCCAUAGAGCAAAAAUGUUUUUUAAAAAAGAGAGAGGAUAGAUUAAAUUUGAAAACAGAAGCAUGAGAAAUGCAUUACCUUAACCAACCUUCUUUGACUACUAUUGUUUGUACUGCCAGUAUCACUAGCAUAAUGCCUUUGCAUUGCACUUUGAGCCAGCCGGAACAAGCUAUCCCGAAUACAAAGUCUAAUUCUGACAUCCAACUGUUGUAAAACAUUGGUUUGGAAUCGUAACCAAGCACAAAUUAUUUAGCAGGGAAAGAAUGCAAUAGUAGGUGAAGCAUACCUUUGAAAUAAUAUCUUGAAGCCUGUAGAGUACUGUGUCCUCCAUUGAAUAAUCAUUAACCGCCAGAGAGACUGUAUUGGAAUCGUCUUGCUCAAUAGGUGAGUUUGGGUCAAAUGAAGCAAGUGUACUUAGAUCCUCUACUUCAAGGUCAGCUCCUUCAACAUGCUGAAUUUGAUUUUCUUGGGAACACUUUUGAUGAACAAGCUGCUGCUGCUGUUUCUGAAUGGCAAGCAUUGCCUGAAUUUGUUGCCGCCUCCUUAAUUUUUCAAUCUUUUCCUGAGGUGUCAUUCUCUGGGGUUUCACUGGACAGUCAGCUAACUUGUUUAUAGGAUUUGCAUUGCCUGAAACUUCAUAACCAGAAAUUUUAGGUCGAUGAUUAAAUGACUAGAAAUUUUGUUGGAAAGUCAGAAAACUUUAACAGGAUUCGCAUUACCUGAAGAAACUUCAUAACCAGAAGCUAAAGGUUGAUGCUUAAAAUCCCCAGACUGAAUGUGGGACAACCCAGGCAUAGAAUAUGGAUUUGUAAUACUCCCGUAGGCAGAAGGGGCCACAAAUGGAUUGGAUAUCUGCUGGUACUGCAACUGCUCGGAACCCUGUAGCUGCUUCUGUUGGCUGAGAAUUGAAGGGGGAGAAGAUUGCAUAAUUUGGGGUUCUAAAUGAUCCUUAAGUUGACAGGCUGGGAUUCCAGAUGAAGUCCAGUUUCCAUAAAAAUCUUGGUAUGAUUUCAGUUCACCUUUUUCUUCCAGUUUUUCCCGACCUUUCAAGAUCUUCUUUUGCCUGUAAGUCUGAUCACAGAACUAUAAACAUAUAAAUAGACAAAUUACUUAGAAUAGAUCAACGUUUUAACCAUCUAGACCUGCAGGGGAGAGUGACUAAGGCACAGUUAGUAUUUUAACUCAGUACAUGGUUUGUAAGGAUAAAUUCAAUGUUAUUUUUUUUUUUUAAUUGUAACUUACGAUCCAAAGGGCUUCUAUUGUUCAGAAUAUAUUGAGGUAUUAGCUAAACUAUGCCAAGCAAACAGAAUUUGCAUGUCCCUGGGAAGAGUGGGUGUCAUACUAGAAAUAUAAAUUACUGAUGCCUCCUGAAUUUUGACAUGCUAUUCCUUUCUCCUUCCUACUAACAGAAAACCAGACAAUGGCUUUACUUUAGGCAAUCGAUAUCAUGGUUAAGUCAUGGAUUUGACAUCAAGGAUAACUUAAUUGAUGCAUUAUUGAAGUGAUGACUAAAUCAUGUAAAUCCAUAUUCACCCAACAUCCAAGUUUAAUCUCAUUCCAAAAAAUAAAACUAAUAGCAUGAAUUAUGAAGAGACGAAGAGGAAUUUAAAUAAUAUAAUUUCUCUUUUCUGUCGCCAUUUUCCAUUCCAGAGAAGUACUCAGGAAGUCUUAAUAAGUUCAAGUGUAAGGUAACUUUUACCCUUCCCAGCUCUAAUUAGGUUUCGCUGUCCCUCCAAUCUAAUUUAAGAUCUAAUAUGAGGAAACCACACUGUAUUAGUGAAAGGAUCACAAUAUCAAGAUUUUCCAACUUCAAUUCACUGAUAUAACUUUUCUUGAAUCCUGGACAAAAGAACUUAGAACAUCAAAAGAUCAUAGCAGGAUUCUAAAAAACAAAGAUUGUAUUUGGUGCCUAUUGAGUCUAAAAGUUAUCUUGGAUGAAAAGGGUAAAAAUCAGUAAUAUGUCUGGUUCAGUAUCAAGAUUUUGAAAAUAUCAAAAGGAAGAAAAAAAAAGGUACCUUGUUUGCUAAUUCAUUUGGAAAAGCACCAUUUUCCUCUGUCAGUUGAGAGUUAGCCGCCGUGUUCUUUCCCACAACAGCCAAAUCUGUCUGCAAAAGCACAAAAAAAUAAAAUAAAAAAUGCUAAGCUUCUCUCAGCUCCUGCACUUGAGCAUGGGGCAUUAAUAAGUGAACUCAUUACUGAAAAUUGAGUCGCUAUACCUGCUCCUUCAGUAUAGGCUUGUUUUUACCUUCAUCAUAUUCUACAUGAUCAAGGCUUGCCUGAGUAUUCUGCAGACCAUGAGAUGCAGGGUCGUUCAUUUUUCCAUAGCCAAGGGCAAACAGCUGGUCCUCUUCUCUCGAAGCCACAGAUAUUGGAAAGGGCUUUACCGGGCUGUUAGUUGUACAUUUUGAAGAAGACCAUAGCUCAUCAGCAUUACCAAGAUUUACAUUGCCAAAUAUUGGGUCAUCAUUGCUGCAAAAUCACCACUUGUGAGGAUAUUGAGUCAGAUGGUUAUCACUGUUCUCCAACAGAAUCAAGAUAAAAUAUAAGAACAUUAGUGAAGAACAGAAAUGCAGGAAAGCCCUUCCACAAUUGAACAAGCUCACCAAUUCCUUACAAAUCCAGUGCUGCUAUAUUACAUUCUUUCUGCCAUUUAUACUUGUAAUUGAGGAUAUUGUGCUGCUAAAAACUCGCAUCCUUCAGGUUCUUUUCACAAUUAACAAAAUUAAGCCAGGAUCAAAAACCAUAAAUUUUCAAACAACUAGUCUUUUUUGUUAGUGUUGCUUUCAGCAGACAGCACUUGUUUGGAAAAGGAUAUAGAUCCAAAACAGAAGAAACUACAAUUAUUAAAAGAGUCUGGUUGUUUUUCCUUCACAACAACACUCUUGUAGUACAUGAUUUUUUUCUUCUGAAAUGAAAAUAGGCAGUGAGCAUAAUUAUUUUGUCCGCGAAACUUUCACUUCACAGUCAGUAAUAAGAAUUUGUUCAAAUUAUCAGAAUAAUGAGAUGUACAAGCUUCCAUAUCAGGGUGCUGCUGACCAUCUUUCAUUUAGGUGCAGAAAGUAAGAAAUGGUAACUGUGCUUUACCUAAAAAUUCGAUCAAGAUCAUCAAAGCUUCCAAUGCUAGCCCAGCCAUAAUCAACAAAAUCACCUUGCUCUUCACCUUCAUGAGGAUUUUGAAAAAUCUCAGUGUCCUUAUCAAGAUGAUCUGUCUCUGCGUUUUAAAAAAAAGAAUUAGAAUGACAGUAGCAUGUAAGAUACUAUGCUAUGAAAACAUCAUGCAACUCGUCACCCUAUCUACAUUUUUUCCUUGUAAUUGAAAUCUCAUCACCUGCUGAUGAAUCGAGUUUGGUAAUCUCAGUUAGAUUGUUAGAGAUUGAAGUUUCCAAGGAAUCCUGCUCAGUUUUGGCAGCAUUACGUGAGGACAAGUUAGGCCAUCGGUCCAUGUCAAGUCCUAAGGAAGAAGUUCCUUCACUUGUGUCAACAUUCGAAAUGCUCUCCAGCUUUCUGCCAUCAGUAUCAACUUUAGCCCCGGGUGCCUUCUGCUCACUAGAUUUAAUGGUGCUAGCUUCUUCACUCGAUUCCUUUUUCUUGCAAUAAUCUUCACUUGCCUCUGGAUAUGGCACGAUAUGGUCAUCACUAUCUUCAGCCUCACCCCAUAUUAUGUUCGUAAGCUGAAAAGAUAGUGAGUAAGCAUCAUCACUAAAUGUGGGAUACAUGAGAAGAAUGAAACAGUCACAAGUUAAUCUCUGGGUAACUUGGCAAGACUAUUUUCCCCAACAUAAUAUUCUGAAUAAUACACUAAUUAAUCAGUUCAGUUCCUUGUAAGGUGUGCGUGGGCACAUAUGAGCACACAUGUGUGUACGAGAGUUGCUAGUGUCAAUGAGUUGGGAACAAAAUAUUUAAUUGAGUCAUGCAGAAAAUACUAAAAUGUUCUAAAUUGUGUUAAAAAUAAAAUAGAAAGUAGAAGCCAUUGGCAUGAUUCAUUUAAAAAUUUCUACAAAAUUAAAAAAAGAAAACAAAACAAAAGGAGGAGAUGGCCCAAAGCAUGCUCUCAAUAAGAUGAAGUAAGACCUAAAGCUUCAUUGCAUGUACAGAGCACUUUGGAAACUUCAGUCUGGACAAAUAAAACCAAGGCAAAGUAUCUUCUUUUUGGAACUAAUUUCUUCACAGUAAGAUAUAACAUCCAACGCUACCUGCAUCACUUUCUCAUGGUCCUCUCUGACUCGAGUGAUCAUAAACCUUCUCAAAUCCCAUUUAAAGAAGAUUCCCUUUCUCACUUUUCGUUGGUAUUAUUUGACACCAAGAUCACAACCAAACAUUACCAAUAAGUGUGUCACCGGAGAAAGAAACUUAGGUGCCCUAAUACCAUAAAUAAAACCUAUUCAAUAAAAAUUAGACAAUAUUUUAUAGCUGUACAUCUAUAAUCAAAGUAAAAUGCCCAAAACUCUGAAUCCUGAAUAUGUGAAUCAAAGUAAAAGGCCCUAACUGAUGCACCAUCAGCAGUCUCCUACUUUGACUUGUGAUUAAUGACCUAGCAGUUCACUUCAACAACAUUAGUGAACAUAAGUUUGAAUUUCAGACCCAGCAAGAAGAAGUACAUUUUCCAGUAGGCAUGCAUAUCACCUUUUUAUCAAUAUCCAUGGAAGACAAACCAAGCAAUAUCAAGUUUUUUUCUGCUGGAUAUCCAAUAAAAAAUACCUCAUAGUGUGAACAUCUUUAAGAAGGAGGAUAUCACAUUGCACCCCAUCAACUGAUCCACAAAUAAAUUUGCAUCUUUCCAUCAGUUCCAAGCUCUUUGUAAGGAAAAGGGAGGGAAGUGCCUUCAAAGAUACCUUCUUCAUAGCUUCUUUAGAUAUGAAUCCACACGGCUUUCGUAAUCACCAAUCACUAUGCGCAGCUUCUCUUAUCAUCACAAGCUCCAUCUCUUUCCACGUCCUAACUUCAUUCGAUGAACUCUUCCCUCAGUUCCCAAGAAAAAUUAUAUUCAUCCCUCCUGCAGCCUUUUCCCUGCAUAUUUCCACCAGCUUCAUAGCUAUAUGGCCUGUGAAAACUGUCGUUGUUGCAGUGAUUCUGAACAACAAAAAUAACAAAGGAUAAUGCUUGUGUUUAAGAAGAGAUUGAUGAAUGAAAAGCUUAAAUACUUUAUUCAUAACUGCAGCUCAAUUUAUAGAGCUGAUACAUAACAAACUCCUACGAUCAUGGUCCUACAUUCAAGCCAUGAUCAAUUGAUAAUGGAAAUAACAGAGCUGCGAAAUAGCAGCAAGAACAAGAGAAUAGGAACAGAAUUGACUAAAUCAAAAAUUAAAGAAAGAAUAAAAUUCCAGCUCAGCAGUCCUGAACAUUAUUUCUAACACUCCUCCUUGUUUAGGAGCUGCAAACUCCCAACUUUGUUCUCAGAAAUUCGAAUUUGUUGACUGGCAGUGGUUUGGUGAAAAUAUCAGCUGCUUGUUCUUCAGUUUUGCAGUAAAUAAGAAUGAUACUCCAAUCUUUCUGCACCUCUCUCAAAAAGAAUAAUUUGAUGUUGAAGUGCUUGGUUUUCCCGUGAAACACAGGAUUAUUAGAGAUGGAAAUGGCAGCUUGAUUGUCAACUAGAAUUUCUGUGCUUUCCUUUUGCUCCAGGUUAAGAUCAGAUAAAAUUUUCCUCAGCCACAAAGCUUGAUUGACAGCAGCUGUUGCAGCCACAAACUCAGCUUCAGCAGUGGAUUGGGCUACGGUUUCUUGCUUUUUUGAAUUCCAUGAAAACACACCAGAACCUAAAGAGAAACAGUAGCCUGAUGUGCUCUUCAAGUCAUCAAUUGAGCCUCCCCAAUCACUGUCAGAGUACCCGACCAGUUUGAACUCUCUACUUCUUGUGUAUCUUAUGCCAAAAUUGCAGGUUCCUUUGACAUAUCUUAUCACUCUUUUAGCAGCCUUGAAAUGCAAUUCACUAGCACAAUGCAUGAAUCUAGACAAGAUACUCACAGCAUUCAAAAUAUCAGGCCUAGUUGCAGUGAGAUACAUCAAGCAUCCAACAAUUUUUCUGAAUUGUGCUUGAUCAACCUUCUCGGCUCCAUCUUCUUUACAUAGCUUCUCCUUUUGAUUCAUAGGAGUGCUUACUGCUUUGCAAUCUUCAAGUUUGAACUUUUUGAGGAUUUCUUUGGCAUACUUCUUCUGACAUAUGAACACUUCAUGUUCAGCUUGCUUAACUUCCAUUCCAAGAAAAAAGGACAUCAAACCCAAAUCUGUCAUCUCAAAUACACUCAUCAUCUCUUGCUUGAACGUCUCCACAUUAUUGUUGUUAUUUCCUGUUACAAGCAAAUCAUCAACGUAAAGUGAGAUGAUAAGGAUGUUAUCACCAUUUUGCUUGAUGUAAAGAGUCGAUUCAGAGAGGCUUUUAGUGAAUCCCAAGUGCUGCAAAUGUUCAUCGAUUCGGCUGUACCAAGCUCUUGGAGCUUGCUUCAAUCCAUAUAGUGCCUUCUUAAGAAGACAGACUUUGUCCUCCUCUCCUUCAUUUGCAAAGCCUUCUGGUUGCUCAGUAUAGAUCUCCUCCUGCAAAACACCAUUUAAAAACGCUGACUUGACGUCCAUUUGAUACACCUUCCAAUUCAGUUGUGCUGCAAUGGCAAGUAGCAGCCUGAUAGUGUCAAGUCUUGCUACCGGUGCAAACGUGUCUGAGUAGUCCACGCCAAAGAUUUGUGCAUAACCCUUCACCACUAGCCUGGCUUUGAGCUUAUUGAUUGAGCCAUCAGCGUUGAGUUUUGUUCGAUACACCCAUUUUACACCGAUUACAUUUCUGUUUUGAGGUCUGUCAACCAACUCCCACGUGUUGUUUCUCGUGAUCAUGAGAAGCUCCUCCUUCAUCGCAGCAAGCCAAUUUUGAUCUAGCUUGGCUUCUUCAAAGUCUGCUGGUUCACACACAGCAAUGUUGCACCUUUGAUACACAUCAAGGAGUGACCGUGUGCCUCUAACAGGAGUGUCAUCUGUCAUGUUGAUGUCCCAAUCUUCCAUGCUUUGAUCAUCUGUGUCUGAAACAAGAUAAUUGCCUUUUGGAGAGGCUGAAUCUUCUUUGAUUGCAUCGUUCCAAUCCCAUUCUUCAUCUUCCAGGAAUUGGACAUCUCUGCUUAUAACGAUUUUUCCAGUUUGUGGCUGGAAAAUCUUAUAAGCCUUUGAAACUAAGCUGUAGCCAACAAAAAUGCCUGGAAGUGCUUUCUUGUCAAGUUUAUCCCUCUUGACCUGUGGAACAAGGGUGAAGCACAAACAUCCAAAUACCUUAAGAAAAUUCAGAGAUGGUUUGUAACCAUACCAUGCCUCAAAGGGUGUUUGAUCCUUCAAGGCUCUUGUAGGCAGUCGAUUUUGCAAGAACACAGCAGUGUUUGCAGCCUCUGCCCAGAAUUUCUUUGGUAAAUUCUUCUCAUGUAGCAAGCAUCUUGUCAUUUCCAAUAUGAACUUGUUUCGCCUCUCACUAACUCCGUUUUGCUGAGGAGUAUACGGAGUUGUUAGCUGAUGAUGAAUGCCUGCCUCCUCACAAAAAACGUUGAAGGCAUUGGAAGUGUAUUCCUUGCCAUUGUCUGAUCUGAGGGCUUGAAUUUUGCAGCCACUUUCAUUUUCAACUUUGGCCUUGAAAUUCCAGAACACCUGUGCUACCUCUGACUUGUGCUUCAAGAAGAAAAUCCAGCACAUUCGGCUGUAAUCGUCAAUGAAGACAGCAUAAUACAGACUCCCAUUUAGAGAGAGUGUCCUUUGUGGUCCUGCAAUGUCAGUAUGAAUCAAUUGCAGCUUCCUUGUUGCUCUCCAUGUGGCUUCUGGAAAGGGCUUCCUGUUUAGCUUGCCAGUGUGACAAGUUCUGCAGCUGGAUAUGUGAUCAUCAAGUGCUGGGAAAUCCUUAGCCAUCAUCUUGGAUUUCAUAAGCAUCAGCCCUCUAUGAUGAUAGUGCCCGAGCCUCUUGUGCCAAAUAUCUGUGAUAUUUUCUUUAAUUGGGAAAGCAGUAUGCUCCUCCUCCAAUGGAUUUAGAGCAAAACUCUUCCCUUUCAUGAUUAUUUUGAAAAUAUCAUGACCAUUCACAUCUUUGAUCAAGCAGCAAUUGUUUUCAAACACUACUUUAUAACCCUUCUCAAUAAGCUGACCAACACUGAAUAAAUUUUGAUUUAUACCAGGGACAUACAAUACAUCAGAGAUGAACUUAGUACCUGAGCAAGUCAAGAUUGCCACGGUUCCCUUUCCUUCAACAACAAGGUAUUCUCCAUUUCCAAUUCGAACCUUUGAAGUUGUUUGUUUCAGCUCCUUGAAUAUGUUUCUGUCAUGUGUCAUGUGGUUGGUGCAACCACUAUCAAUGAGCCAGCUUUCACUUGAGUCAUUUCUGGAAAUGCAAGUGGCCACAAACAAUUGAUCUUCUUCUUCUUGAUCAGCAAUUUGAGCUUCUUCACCAUGCUGUUGAAUUUUGUUUUUGCAGAUGACAGCCUCGUGCCCCAUUUGAUUGCAUUUGUUGCACUUAGCUUCUGGUCUUCUCCAACACUUAAAAUGUGGAUGUGAUCUCCUUUUACAAUGCUGGCAUGGAGGAAAAGGUCCUUUUUUGUUUCCAGUGUUGCUCCUUGUUGAAAUUCCUGGAAUCACCUGAUGAUGCUUGACUGCUUCCAUUCUUCUUGUAAUUCUUUCCUUUUUCUCUAUGCUUGACGAAUAGAGCUCCUUCAAUCUCAUCUUCCUGUCUCAUGAUCCUCCUUUGCUCCUGAGCUUGUAAUGCAUUUAGCAUUUCUGUCAAAGUAAUUUUUGACAUAUCCUUGGUAUUUUCCAAGGAUGUAAUUGUAGCUUCAAAGAUUUCAGGAAUUGUUACAAGAAUUUUUUGAACAAUUCUUGACUCAGGCAGGGACGAGCCAAGUAAACUGAUUCGGCUUGCAAUAUUAAGCAGCCUGUCAGAGUACUCUUUGAUGGAUUCAGUCUUCUUCAUCUUCUGCAACUCGAAAUCACGCAUCAAGUUCAACACUUGCAUACCUUGAAUUCUUUCAUCCCCUUCAUACUCAGUCUUGAGAAACUCCCAUAUCUCCUUUGCUGUUUUCAGAGACAUGAUUCGAGUGAAAAUGGUGGAUGCUACUACAGCAAACAAGCACGCCUUUGCCUUUGAUUUUUUUGUCUUCUUCUCCUUCUGUGAUUUGAUCUGCACCAUGGUGGGAUUGUUUGGAAGUGCAGGGAUUUCAUAAUCUUCUUCCACUGCCUCCCACAAAUCCAAAGCCUCUAAGUAUGUCUCUAUCCGUACUGCCCAAAACUGGUAAUUGUCACCAUUGAACACUGGUGGAGCAAUUGAUGAGAAGCUUACUUCUGUCUCCAUGGGUUACAACACAGAUCCCUUUAAAUCAAGAUGCUCUGAUACCAAUUGUCGUUGUUGCAGUGAUUCUGAACAACAAAAAUAACAAAGGAUAAUGCUUGUGUUUAAGAAGAGAUUGAUGAAUGAAAAGCUUAAAUACUUUAUUCAUAACUGCAGCUCAAUUUAUAGAGCUGAUACAUAACAAACUCCUACGAUCAUGGUCCUACAUUCAAGCCAUGAUCAAUUGAUAAUGGAAAUAACAGAGCUGCGAAAUAGCAGCAAGAACAAGAGAAUAGGAACAGAAUUGACUAAAUCAAAAAUUAAAGAAAGAAUAAAAUUCCAGCUCAGCAGUCCUGAACAGUAUUUCUAAUUUCUGCUGGAUAUCCAAUAAAAAAUACCUCAUAGUGUGAACAUCUUUAAGAAGGAGGAUAUCACAUUGCACCCCAUCAACUGAUCCACAAAUAAAUUUGCAUCUUUCCAUCAGUUCCAAGCUACUUUGUAAGGAAAAGGGAGGGAAGUGCCUUCAAAGAUACCUUCUUCAUAGCUUCUUUAGAUAUGAAUCCACACGGCUUUCGUAAUCACCAAUCACUAUGCACAGCUUCUCUUAUCAUCACAAGCUCCAUCUCUUUCCACGUCCUAACUUCAUUCGAUGAACUCUUCCCUCAGUUCCCAAGAAAAAUUAUAUUCUUCCCUCCUGCAGCCCUUUCCCUGUAUAUUUCCACCAGCUUCAUAGCUAUAUGGCCUGUGAAAACGACUCCCAAAUUAAAACACUUGAGAAGCUCUAAUAGUUUUCUUAUUAUUUCUUCACUCUUUGUCAGUGUGCCACAUUCAAAUACUACUGAUCGAUUCUUCCUCGUCACAACCACUCACUUUCCCCUAAAUCCCAUACCAACUAAAUCAAUAUCUCUUAUCACUUAUCAAAACUCCAUCUAAUUUCCAAAUGAAUCACACCAUUUGAACACUUUGCCAAUUCCUAAUUCCUUCAAAAUUUUCAUCCAUCAAAAAAAAAACUGCAAGUCAUACUUUUUCACUCUAACACAGUUCUCCUUAUAAUCAAUCUUCCAAUUUAACCAUACUCUUGCCUCUAAAUCUGGCACGCAAAGCUUCUACAUAACCUUCCAACGUUACUUCUUGCCUCCCAACAAGGGUGGAGGCAUGCAUGGGCUAGGGUGGGCUCUAGCUCAGGUGAAGAUUUUAUUAAUAUUUUUGUUCUAGUUUUAUGUAAAGAAAAUUUGUAAUUCUCAAUUUACGUGGAGCCUUCUAAUAUGAUGCUUUAACUUGAGUUAAAAUUUUAUAAUUUUUGAAGAAAUUCAGAAAUUUGAUAAAAAACAAAAUCAUAAUUUGACCAAUUUUAUGUUAUUGGGUGUAAUUUUCAAUCUGACCAUCAGAUUGAGCUAAAAUUUUACAAGGAAUCUUAAAAUAUAUUAAAUAAAAUCUGGUUUAAAUUUUAAAAUGAACAGAGUUUGGUAGUGCUAACAAAAAAAACAUCAAAUAAAAGCAAAAUGACUCAUUAAGGGUAAAAUUGUUAUUUGCCAUAAAAAAAAAUCAGUUCUUCCUUCCUUUAUAUGUUGCUGACUGGGCAGAAACAAAAUAGAAAAUGAAAGAAAAGAAAAGGCGAGAGAAAAAGAGAGAAAAGUAAGGGAAAAACAUAAAAAAAAUCCUAGAAAAAAAGAUAAGAAAAGUGAGAAAAUAACCUUAUAAACUUAUAAAGUCCAACUUAUAAAAUAUUAAUCUAAGGAAGAAGCAAGUGAAGGAAGGAGGAAUUGAGAGAGGGAAAAAAUUUAAUUAUUUUAUUUUUCAGUUGACAUGAGAUUGUUAUUUUAUCCCGGUUAAGGGAUUGUUAUAAUAUCAAUUCAAAUUCGAUUAUAGAUGAAUUAUAUUUCACAAAACAUCGAAAGAUGUAACUUUAAUAGUGAGUUUAUUUUUACUUUCACUUUAAUUUUAUAUAUUUUUAAAUUUAUUUUUUAAUAUUUUAGGUAAUGUAUUUGAAUUAAAACUUUACUAUUAACUUUAAAAACUCAUGUACAUUAAUUAAUAAUUUAUCUUAAAAAAAAUAUUAUAUAUUUAUUUAAUAGUGCAGGACAGAAAAAAAAUCUAGCAAAAUUUAUUCUUUCCAACUUUAUUUGUUUUGACUGAAAAAUAAUCUUUUAUUUUUGUACUUCACAGGCAUGUGGUGGCAAAAGUCGAGCACGAUAUAUAUAUAUAUAUAUAUAUAUUUCUUAAGAUACAUAUGGCUGGUGAUUGGCGGAUGAUGGUGUCAUUAAGACUCUUGGUGUGUACCCUCAUCCUUUCUGUUUAUAGUUUAGUCCAUUUGCAGCUUUAAUGGCUACUAUCAGUUGCUUUGGAACCUGAUAUCACUAGUCUCAUUAUGGUACAGACAAGCUCAGGAUGAUCAAUCCUUGAGAAUCCACAUCCAACCAGAAAUAAACCGAAUUUCGAGCAUAAAUGACUCGAACUCGCUGGAAUGCUUUGGCACCUCCUUCAAUCCUAGUUUGGGAAACAGAAACACUAUCACCGUUAGUUUUCACCGAGGAAGACAGCACCCCCAUUCUCUCCUGCUGUGCUGAUGAUGGGGCAUGAGAGAUAGUCCAAAGGAUUUGCCUCACGUUGAAGUAUGCAACUGUCUAUGGUUAGCCUUCUCUUUUGUGAUGCAAGCAGCAACCAAGCUCUGCCUUCACUGCAUAAAGAAAUGAUUGAUUCACGAAGCCUGACUUCUUUGAAUUUGAAAGAUUAGAAUCAUUGGAAGAGAAAGAAGAAAAGGUGUAAAUGACAGCGGAAUGCUAUUAUACCAUCUGCCAAGGUAAUGCCAAGUCUACUUGCGAGGUAUUUAUAUCAUAAUUUUUAAAUAUUAGAUUGUCAGCGCAUACCAAGCAAAGAGCUUCGAUUCACAACGAAAUGAAUCCGUGCUAUGGGUUAUCAUCUGAUAUCAUCAUUCAUCAACAAUUAAUCGAAUGGGUUUAUACAUGAAAUGUUUUUAGUUUCUUAAUCAAUAAUUGAAGUUUUUAAUUGGAAGUCAAAUUAUUCUUAGAGAAUAAUAUAAUUAAACUAAACCUUGGUUAAUUGAUUGCUAGCAAAGGUGUACAUUUACAUGGCUUGAAAAUGAAGCUUAUCUUCCAUUUAAUUUUAUCAAAUAAAUUAUUUAUAGAGUAGUUUUGAGUGAUAUAAAUCAAAUAGGAAUUAAAUCAUGUUAAAACAUUUAAUUUUGUUGUCCCUUUAUAUUACAAACAGCAACAUUACGUAUCAUGUUUAUAAAUUCCAAACCACUCAUUUGAAACUAACGCUUUGUAUUUUUUUUAUAAAAUAAAAUAAAUCCUAACACUGAUGUGGACUAAAAUGUUUUUCAUAUAAAAUAUGAGGAUCAAAAAACUUUCAUGAACAUUUAAAAUAUGAUGUGGACUAACAUUUUUUUUUUGUUAAAAUUAGUUCGGUUUGUACUUUCUAGAUCGUUUUGAUGUGCUGAUAUCAAAAAUAAUUUUUAAAAAAUAAAAAAAACAUUAUUGGCAUACUUUUCGGCACGAAAAGCUAUUUGAAAAACAACAACUACCACACUUCCAAACACCCUCACUUAGUAUAAAAAAGAAAUCAUCACGUCGUUAUUUUCCACUCAGUAUAAAAAAGAAAUCACACGCCUUAGAGGAUAAAUAAGCAAUGCGAAAGUUAAAUAAAUUUAUGAAUUACCAGCAUAAUUCACACUAAUUCCCCUCUCUAACUUGCACCUCAUCAAUUUUUAUUCCUUUACUCUCGAACGAAAAUAAUAAUAUUUAAGUUAUUAAACCCAACUCGAAUUAUAAUUCAAGUAGGGGGUUAACAUAAAUCAAUACAAAGUGAUAUGACUUUAGGAGUUUUUUCAAAAAAACAAAUUAAAAUGAUGUGAACUUUUUUAAAUUAAAUUGAGUUUUAAUUGAUCAAAUAAGUUGGAUUACACCAGGUCAAAUUCUAUCCGAUUUAAUUUAAAAUUCAAUCUAAACUCUUAACUUACCUUCAGUCGGGUUUAAUAACAUAUUGACGUAACUUUAGACAAGUUAAGACAUGUUAUUUGUAUAAUCAGACCAAAUUCUCAAUCUUUAUUUAUCAUAAUAACGAUCCAACCCAUUAAUUUUAAAUGGGCCUAUAAAAACUCUAACUUGCCAUAAAAUCAGCAAUUUUACAUCCUAUUUUAUAAAAGACACUCCAACAUAAUUAAUUAAAAUAGUAUUUGAUAUUGUGGUAAUAAUUAUUUUUUAAAGUAUUUUUUAUUUAAAAAUAUAUUUAAAUAAUUUUUAAUUUUUUAAUUUUAAAAAUUAAUAUUUGACAUUACAUAUUAAAACAAUCUAAAAACAUAAUUUUUAAAAAAAGUUAUUAUUAUUUAAGAAAAACUGUAUCACCAUACAAACAAAUCCAAAAACACAAUUUUUUUAAAACAAUUAUUAUUCUUUUAAAAAAAAUUGUAUCACCAUAAAAACAAAUAAUUUCUAAGAGUGACAGUGAGCAACAGAAAUAAACCAUGGCAGAAACUAAAAAUACCUUUAACGGAAACUGUGCUUCGAUUCACAACGUUUUCAUCCUUGACCAAUGCUUGACAGAGUAGACGACGGGUCAGAACAGAGCUACCAGUCCUGCAUUUCUCGAAGGAUAGUUUUGGAAAUGCUCUAAGACCGUGGCCAUUAUGCUGUGUAUGUUUGAUAAUGCAGUGAAUAUAAUUUUAUAAAAAUAUUUUUCAAUUAAUAAAAUAUUUCUUAAAGAAAUUUUCAAUAAUUUUGUUAAGAAAUUUGCGUGGCCAGACAUUUUAAAGAAUGAUGCUAAAUUUGGGGUUACAUAGGCAGCUGCUGGCUCCUCUUGUAUCUUUUGGGUUAAAGGCAUCGUUUGUUUCCUGCCGUUGUCUAUUCUCCGGUCGUAGAAGCUGACUGCAAUCCUCCGACUCUGUUCUCAUAGUCAGAUGCUUCCUCUGUUUUCUCCUGGCAUUAAAAUUACAGCUCACCCUCAAAUCUUAUUGCCUCUGGUCAUUUUCUUGAAUGGUGCUUGGUGUUGUCUUCUAGCGUUUGCAGUAUCGUAAUUUGCUGGAGUUUUUGUAGUAUUUGAAUUGUGGGUGAUUGAGCUGCAGAAUUUGUGCAAUUGAAUUGAAUUUGUGCUAUGGGUUAUCACGCGAUAUCAUCAUUCAUCAACAAUUAAUUGAAUGGGUUUCUACAUUAAAUAUUUUUAGUUUCUUAAUCAAUAAUUGAAGUUUUUAAUUGGAAGUGAAAUUAUUCUUAGAGAAUAAUAUAAUUAAACUAAAUCUUGGUUAAUUGAUUGCUAGCAAAGGUGUAAAUUUACAUGGCUUGAAAAUGAAGCUUCUCUUCCACUUAAUUUUAUCAAAUAAUAUAAUUUUGAAAUAAAUUAUUUAUAGUAGUUUUGAGUGAUAUAAAUCAAAUAGGAAUUAAAACAUGUUAAAACAUUUAAUUUUGUUAUACCUAGGUCCCUUUAUAUUACUAACAACAAUAUUAUGUAUCGUGUUUAUAAAUUCCAAACCACUCAUUUGAAACUAAAGCUGUGUAUGCUUUUUAUAAAAUAAAAUAAAUCCUAACCUUCAUAUGAGGAUUAAAAAACAUUCAUGAAAAUAUAUGAAAAGCUAUUUUUGUCUCUAUGGGCUAGGUACGAUGUAUUCAGGUAUGGAUAUGGGUCUGGGCUUAGGAUGAUAGAUAUGGGUCCAGUAGGAGCACGAUAUUUUUUAAUGGUAAGGAAUGAGCUAUGCCUACCAGGCUGGUUACUCGGUCCAUUCACCUCUCUACCUGAGGCUUGUAUAGUUUAUUGAAAAAAACAAACUUAUAUCGUUUCUUUUAGAAUUCAUUUCUUUAUAAAGCAUGACAAUGUAACCAAAUUUGCAUUAUCUAUAUAAAAUAAAAGAAAAUAUAUAUUUUCACAAAUUCUACCAUAUUGCUCGACCAAAAUAUUUAUUUUUUGUUUCUAUACAUAUUAUAAUUAGUUACAAAUAUAACACCCAAUUUAAUAAAAUCAUAUGAGCAAAAUUCCAGGACUUUCCAUGGACAAAACCCAAUUUAAUAUAUAUAUAUAUAUAUAUAUAUAUAUAUAUAUUUCUCUACAUAUUCAAUAUAUUCAUCUAAAUGUAUUUAUCUGAAUGCUAUAUUAUCUUAUAAUUUAACUGGGACCAAAGAUAAAUGAUAACAUUUAUUUAAAUGCUAUUUAUGAUUGACACACAAAACCCUGUUUUCAUAGUUAAUUGAAGGAUAAUAAAUGGAAGAAUGACAAAUUGCCAGGUGGAAAGUUAUACCUCAUCACAACAAAUACUUUCCAGCCAAUUAAUUAAUGGCGGUUACAACUAAUUACAACAAAUACUCUUCACUUCUUCUCUAUAGUUAUGUUAAUGGUAAGAAAAGGUUGGAUAUUAGAAUUUUGAAAAAUAAAAUAAAAGAUAAGUGAUGUUCAGAUUAGAACUUGAUAUUUGAUAUAAAAUAUAUAUUUUUUAAUUAAACUUUAAUAACAAGUCAUAAAUCAACUCAAAAAUAGUAAAUAUUGUAAAAAAAAAAUGGUAAUAUUAUACACAAAAAAAGAGACUCAUGAAAUGACAUAAAAAAUAGAAUUUUUGUAUAUUUUUAUCUAUUCAUGAACUUGAACAUGAUUUAUAUUUAUAUAAUCAUACAUUUUAAUUGGAAAAUAAUCAAUAAAGGAAGAAAGAAUCGACUUUAAACAAAUAAAAAGAAAAUAGAAGAUGAAAUAUAAAUCACGUAAGAAUUAAGUCUUCUCGAAGACUAGCUUAAGAGUAAGAAAGAGGCAAAAUCUAUAGGAAUUUAAUUAAUAAAUGUUUCAUGCGUGUUGUUUCGAAUUGUAUAAAUAUAAAGAAAAUACAUUUAUACAUAUUAUAUUAUAAUGAAUAUAUUUUUCUGUGCAAAAUUGUUAUUAUUUUUUCAAAUCAAACCCCCGGUUUGAGUAUUGAGCAUAAAAAGAAUUUGGAUUGUUGAAUCAUUUAAACAAUUAGUGGAUCGCCAAUGAAUCAUUUUAUUAAAAUGAUAUUUUGCUUUUUUAUAAAAAAAUUUAUUAAUAUUGAUUUAACUAAGUUUGUAUCAGAUUUUACCAAAUCAAAUAAAUCAUUACAAAUUCAAUUGAGUAAUUAAGAUUUUAUCUUAUCAAUGUUUUUUUCUAAUUCAAUUUUAAACCUGGUUAAUGCCAGGAUCUGGAGGAUGUGCUUCCUAUAUCAAAUCACCAUGCAGGGAAGAGUUUAAACAUUUUUCAUUUUUCCUAUAUCAAAAAAUUACAUUUCUUAGCAAAACACACGAGUUAUAUAUAUAUAUUUAAACAAAUUACAAAUAAUCUAAUCAAUUGAUUAAAGUUGUGACACCUUAUAGUACGUAGACGACUAUAUAAUACUAUAAGAUAUUUAACAAUAUUUAUUUUUAUGAAGAGUAAUAUGUUGCUUGUCUAUGUAAUUUCUCUUUUAAAUUGGGUUUAAUUUCAAAAUCAACGUGUAACUUUGUACGUAGGGGCAUGUCAUGGGCAGUGUUGGACCAAAUUCUCAAUCUUUAUUCAUAGAGGUGGAUCAUGAUCGAGAUUCGAGCCUAUUAAUUUUAAAUGGAUCUACAAAACCUCUAUUCGGCCAUAAAAAAUAAAAUCUCAGGUGCCCAUCAAUGAUAGGAUCUAUUUUGUAAAAGACAUUUCAACAGUAUUAAAAUAAUGUUUAGUAACGUGAUAUCUGAUAUUUUUAAAAAUAUUUUUUUAUUUAAAUUAUAUAUUUUUAAAAUUUAUAUUUAAUAUUAUUAUAUUAAAAUAAUAUAAAAAUAUAAAAAUAUAUUUUUAAAAAAAAUCUUGGUGUCAAAGUGAGUGAAUAAAAAAAAUAAAUCAUGGCAGAAACCACGAACACCUUUAACAGCAAUGUCGUUUCAGUUUGACAGAGUUGUGUUAAAAAAAAAAUUCCUUCAAUUUGUAUUGACUUUUUAAUGUUUUAAGUUUACAGUGCUCCUAUAUAUAAACAGAGAAGAUGUUCUUAAAAACUAUGGAUUCCUGCUAUAAACAGGACUUAUACAAAUGUGGAAUAAAUCAAUUACUAAACUAUGGAAUAGGACUUAUACAACUGUGGGAUAAAUCAAUUACCAAACUUUUUCUUACAAACUCUCAACUAAAUCACUUUGUAAUUAUACUAACACUUUGAGUCAAGUUAGUGCAAAGAUAUCUUACCCAACUUGUCAAGGGAGCUCUGAAAGUUUUUGCUGAAGACAACUUUUGUAAAGAUAUUCGUGAGCUGAUUCUUUGAUUUGACAAAUGAAAAGUUAAUCACUUAUUAUUUAAGAUUUUGUUUAAUAAAAUGUUUGUCUAUUUCAAUAUGUUUCGUGUGAUCAUGUUAAAUUGGGUUAUAAAAUAUUUUAAUGGCAGCUUAAUUAUCACAGUAUAGGUUCGUUCUUGAUUUGGGAGCAAAACCAAUUUCUGAUAAUAAUCUUCUGAGCUAAAGCAGUUUACGUAGUCCUUUUACCGUCCCUUGAAACUCAACCUCUGUGCUUGACAAGGUAGCUACUUUUUAUUUCUUGCUUCUCCAUGUGACUAAAUUGCCACCAAUAAACGUGAAGUAUGCUCAUUAAUCUCAUGCAUAUUUUGAUUAUUUUGUUGAAUAUUUUAAUCAGGUUUAUGAUAUGGAUUCUUAUAAUAAAAUUUUCAUUUAAUUUUUUUAUUUUCAUGGGGGGUUUUAAUGUAGGGAACAUAGGAAGUGUAAAGGUGGCAACUUUUUUGCUUUAUUUUAUACCGUAUUUAAAGCCAGUGCCUUUGAGGUUUUAUGGCAGCCCAUCAACAAUAUUCUUAGUAGGAUCUUAUCAUUUAUGGUACUAGCCUGUUGGGCCUCCCUUUUCAUUAUUUUAAGCGUAGUUGCCACCCAUCUUUCUGUGGCUCCAUGUUCAUUCUCCAAACCAUUCAUAUAGGUAUCUUAAAUAGUGUAGCUGGAGCUUUACUGGGUAUGCUUUUUAAUAUAUUUUUAAGUAAAAUAUAUUUUUAAAAAUAUUUAAAAAACAAACAUUACUGUACUUUCAAAAACAUAAUCCUCUUGUAUCUGACGCUUUAAAUUCCAACAAUGAGUUACUGAUUAGAUAAUAUCUACAUUCAAUUAAAAAUAUAAUUUCUUGACAGCGAAAUAAAGAAAAAAGUAGCAACCCUGUAAUAUCUAGGUAAUUUCUAUGCUCUUUAAAUUAGGCCUCUAAACUGAGACUGUAAUGAGCCCAUGACAGAGGAAGACAUGAAAGUGUAAUUUCAGAAGACCAUUAUUCAUAUAACAAAUUUAGUAAAUUUAGUAAACUCGUAAAGUUAAACCGAUUUUACUAAUUCUGUACUAGUUAGAUUUGAUUUUAUUAAUUUUAAAUUUUUAGUUAGAUUUAGUAUGUUAAAUAUAUAUUAACUUAAAUUUUACUAAUAACUCAUAAUUUUAACAACCUUGCUUGUAAUAGCUCUUGUGGUGGUUGAUGUUUAAAAAAGAUAAUUGAGAAAUUAUUUUCACUCGUGACUUUUUUGAUUUAAAUAAGUAUUGAAUUAAAAAUAUUUAAUUAAAAUUAUUGUUUUAAUUUAAUUACCACAAAAGAUACUGGUGAAGGUGGAGAGGAUGCAAAAGAUGAUUGGGUAUCCUAUUAAUCGUCAAAACAUCAACUAUUGUGGUCAAUUCUGCUGACUGCUGAGACUAAAAGCCAACCACUUGAAUAAUGGGCAUUAGCUGUUUAGCACUCCUUGGUAAACACUUCAGGCUCCUUUCCCGCCCCUUUCCUCGCUGGUUCCUUAAUAGCUUCAAGGGGUGCGAGCGCCUCGUUCGAGGAUUGAGCAUAAAGGACUAAAAGAGUUCAAUAAAUACUAAAAGACAUAAAGUGAAGUUUUUAUAAUAUUCAUAGCAAUGGUCAUCAGCUAAUUUAUAAUUUAUUUAUCUACUUUAUCAAUGAAAUAAAAGUGAUAAAAGAAAAGGAGAGAAGAAAUAAAGUGAAGUCUUCUUCUGCAUUAUUAGCACAUCACGUGAAAAUAAAGAAUGGCAUAUAAUAAAAGUUAUUCCAAUCAAACCUCCUUUUUCAACCGAUGGGGUCUCUUGUCAAAUAAAGCAAGGACAGACCGAGUAAGAUGUGGGACCUAACUGCACUUUCCUGGCACGCGUAGUUCACGCAUACACAAGCACAUUCAGAAUAGUAUUCAAUUUAAAAACACAAAAAAAAAAUAAAGGAAUAAAAGAAGGAAAAGUGAUCAAAGAAGAAGAGAGAAGAAAUAAAGUGAAGUCUUCUUCUGCAUUAUUAGCACAUCACGUGAAAAGAAAGAUACAAACAAGAUUACUCCAUUUUCCAGUCACUUUUUCAACCGAUGGGGCUUCUUGGCAAAUAAAGCAAGGACAGACCGAGUUGAUGCGCUACGUAACUCCUUUUUCCUGGCCCGCGCAAUUCACGCAUACACAAACACAUCCAGAAUAAUAUUCAUAAAAUUAAUUAACAUCCCGUAAAAAUAUACUUUAAUUUAGAAAAGAUUUUAAAAUGUUAUUUUUCAAAUUAAUAAUAACAAAAUUUUAUAUUAAAUUGGUUCGCUUAAGUUAACCUAUUAGAUUUAUAAUUCAGGUUAUGAAAUUAUAAUACCUAGUUCACAAAUAACCAAAUAUGGUGAAGUUUUUCCAAUCAAACCCUUUUUUUUUUUUAAGAUGUAAUUUCUAGAAAAAUAAAUCAAAGACAAACAGAGUAAAAUUUCAAAAAAUAGAGAAAGAUGGAAAAUCCCACCAAUAUUUAACCCACUUAAAUUGAGUCCAAAUCAUAAAAGCAUCUACAAAGAGUGUGUUAAAUGAAAAGUUAAAAAUUAAAAAAUAUAUAAUUUUGACUCUUUCAUGUUUAUUUUACACACUUCAAAAAAAUAUUAAAUAAAAUAUUAAAAUAUUUUUUUUUCUUAUAAAUACUAUUUCUAAAUAUCUAUCAAAAAAACCAAUACUAAAAAAAUAGAGUCAUCAAAAAAUAAACCAAUUAAAUAUAAUUAUAUGAAAAAAUAUAUUUUAAAUAGUGCAGCCUGAGCUUAAUGGUUAAAAUAAUUUUAUAUUUUUUAUAAUUGUUAACAUCAACACAUUAAAAUCAUUAAAAAUAUUAAAAAAUCAAUAAUUUAAUAUAUUUUUAAAUAAAAUAUAUUUUUUAAAAAAACAUAUAAAUUACUACUAUUAUUUCAAACACACAAUCCUAUUCCAUCUUAAAAUCUGAGCUAUUAGGAUAGUAAAGUUAAUUCGUUAAAUUUACAAUUGUGGUGGUGGGAUAUUAAAAAAAAUCUUAUAUUAAAAUUAAAAAUUUUAAAAAUUCUUGAAUAAAAAAACAACAAAACAAUUAUUCAGGUAAUUGUAUAAAAUAUAAUAAUAUAAUGUAUAAUUUAUAAUUGAUUUAUUUACCUUAUCAGUCUUCUGCUGCAUGAUCACAUCACGUGAAAAGCUUGGCAUUUAGUGAUGUUUUUCCAAUCAAACCUCCUUUUUUCAAAGAUGGAAUCUCGAGGUAAAUAAAUCAAAGACAAAACCGAGUAAAAUGGAGUCCAGAGCAUAAAAGAAUCUCCAAUGAAGCUGCUAAAUGAAUAACUAAAAAUAAUAAUAAAAAAAAAAUUGUUUUUGUUUGUUUUUUAUAUUUCAAGAAGAAAAUCAAAUAAAUCGUUAAAAUAUUUUUUUUUCACAUAAAUAUUAUUUUUAUAUAUCUCUCAAAAAAAUCAAAAUUAAUAAAAUAAAACCAACAAAAAAAAGCCAAUUAAAUCUAGGUAUCUAGAAAAAAAUAACUUUAAAAUCAUUAAAAAAAAAAAAUGUUUAUUUAUUUCACUUUAUCUCGAAAAACAGUAACUUUAAAAUCAUUAAAAAAAAUAAAAUGUUUAUUUAUUUCACUUUAAUAGAAUUGGCUUUUCAAUGUAUUUUUUCUAUUGGAAUAUAUAUUGUAAAAAAAAUAUAUUUAUAUUAUUUAAAAUACUAUUUUAUUAGUUUAUUUUUUUAAAAUAAUAUUUUUUAUUAAAGAUACUCCAACAAGGGCCGAGAGAGCAAAGGCUUUUACGAGUUCUGUGUUCCGUAUACUUCUCAAGGGGAAAAAAAUAAUGUUUUGUUAGAGAUUUGUUUUUGAUAGAAUUGUUAGCGAUCUUAGCCGAUGCAUCUGGAUUAUAAUUUUUAGCAUUUAUACUAUUUUAUAGCGCUAAUAUCUUAAAAAAACUUAUUUUCUAGCUUUUUUUUCAUGGUAUAAUAAAAUAUUAAAAAAUAUUUUUCAACUCAUUAUCCUUAAUACAAUUAAAUUUCAUAGAAUAGUCUAUUUUUUAGAAAUAUAGUUUACUAUGAGAUUUAUUGGAUAAAAGAAAUUCACUUUGUAACAAUGCACUAGAAACUAAAAAAAAAUAAGCUAAUGAUCAUUUAAAAAUAUAGUAUAUUGGAAUCAUCUUGCUGAAUAGGUGAGUUUGGGAGUUUGGUUGCUUAACAGGCGAGUGAGGGUUAAAUGUAUCCAAUUAAAUAAUAUCUACAUUCAAUUAAAACUUAUGGUACAAUUACUUGACAGCAAAAUAAAGAAAAGCAGGAACCCUGUAAUAUCUAGGAAAUUUCUAUGCUCUUUGAAUUAGGUGCCCAAACUAAGGCUAUAAUGAGCCCUGAAUUUACACAGAAGAAAUUUCAUGGGAAAUGGGUUGAUGUCAGAGGCAGACACGGAAACGUAAUUUCAGAAGACUAUGACUCAAAUCAGUGGCUGAAAUCCAAUCACUCAAGGGAUGGUGACACGUUGUCUUGAGUGGGAGACAACUGGUCUUCAGUACAAAGAGAAACAACGUUUUUUUUUUAUUAUUAUUAUUAUUAUUAAAAGCGAGUGUACGAGUUACUUCCAUGUUUUUUAAUUAAUUUUAAAAUUAAUAAUUAUAUAAAUUUUUAAUAAUUAUAAAAAAGUUUAAAUUCAUGAAAAGAUUUGAAUUCAUAAUUAUUAAAAUACAAAUAUAUUUUCCUGAGUGUCUUUGCUCUCGUGACAGCUCACGAUGGUGGGGGGUUUAAAAAAAAAUUUAAAAAAUAUUUUUACUUGUGAUUUAUUUAAUUUAAAUAAGUAUUUAAUUAUAAUUAUAAUUAACGAUAUAUUGUAACUAAAAUUACUAUAAAAAAGAACAUAGUGAAGGUGGAGAGGAUGAGAAUAAUGAUUGGAUAUCUUAAUAAUUGUAAAAAGAAAGUAUUUUUUUAUGGUGAAGUUAUUUGUAUAUGAGAAAAGACUGAGUUUUGUAGCUCAGAAAAAAUAAACAUGUUGAUAUUGCUUUUUAAUAACCCAUGAAUGGACCGUAAAUUGCAACGGGUUCACAAACACAAACAUGUGCUUCACAUGUAACCAAACUUAUUGUUAUCUGCAUUAAAAGCAAAAGAUGCUAAAAACACACACAUUUGAUCGUUGAAGAUGUUUUUAAAUUGUUUUCUUAAUUAUUUUUCAUUUAAAAAAAUAUGAAUCAAAGAAGUUUAAUAAUUAUAAUUAUUAAAUAUUUUGAAAUAAAAUGAUCCAUCUAUAUUAAAAAAAAACAUCAUUCCCACGUGUGGAAGAUAAAAUUAAUCAACCUAAUCUUAUUGGAUUGCAUUUUAUUAAAUCAAACCAUCAGUAUCUUUAAUGCAGGAUAUUUUUGUUUUUCCAAUUCAAGUAUACUUUUUAAUAUAAUAAAUUUUUUUAACCUAUUUUUUUAUUAUUAUUUUAGUAUCAUUUUGUUAUUUCUAAUAGUUUGUGGUUACCAGUUUAGUCCUGAAUUCAUUAUUAGAACCAUCAAUUUUAAAAAUCAAUGUAAGUUGAUUUUUAUUAUUUUUUAUUUUUUAAAAUUAAUUUAUUAAAAAAAAAUUCCAUGAUUUCUUUUUAAGAGACUAACCCUUCAUCGACAAACACUAAUGUACCCUGAAAAACAUAAUCUUAUUACAUCUGACGCUUUAAAUUCCAACAAGGAGCACCUACACAUCGAAAUAAAGAAAAGUACUGAGUGCCUUGGCGGUGGGAGGAGCUCUGCUCCUGAGUUCGAGUGUUUACAUGUAUAUCUAUCAUUCUCGUGGUGUUUUAUAUAUCUAUUGGGUUUAUAAAGUAUUCAGUGGGAUUAGUUGUGGUGCGCGCAAACUGACCCGAACAUCCAAAUAAAUAAAUAAAUAAAGUAGAAACCCUGCAUGUGGGAAAUUUUUGUUAGGCCUCCAAUCUGAGGCUGUAACGAGCCCUGGAUCUACACACAAGAAAUUUCAUGGGAAAUGGGUUGAUGUCAUAGGGAGACAAGGAAGCGUACUUUCAAAAGACCAUGAGACAAAUCAACGGCUGAAAUCCAAUCACUCAAGGGAUGGUGACAUGUUACCAUGAGUGGGAGACUGCUAGUCUCCAUCUAAAUGUUUAAAGAUGACUGGGUAUCUUAGUAAUUGUAUAACAAUUGAUUUUUUUUGCUGAAGUUGUCGGUGUGGAUGAGAAAAUACUGAGUUUGUAGCUUAGUAAAAACAUGUUGAUGUUGAUGUUACUUUUUAUUAGCUCAUGGUUGGCCCGUAAAUUAUAAUGGGUCCCACAAUCACAAACCUAUGAUUCACAUGUAAUUUAUGUUUUACAACUUAUUUUUAAAAUUAUUUUUUAUAUAUAUUUUUAUACCAUUUUUAUUUUAAAAAUUUUAAGUUUAAAAAAUAUUAUUUUAAUAUAUUUUUAAAUAAAAAAUACUUAAAAAAAAAAUUAAUAUCAGACACAGUGAAUGUUUUAUAAAAUUUUACAAUCGCUUUUACAUUUUGUUUAGAUCACAUUUGAAAAUGCGGUACACUACAAUAAAGUCCGUUAUAUGAUUAAGGGUAUGUUUGGUAUUGCGGUUGCUGUUGUGAUUGUAAUUAUGGUUUUAAAAAAAAUUGUUUUAUAAAAAGUAAUUUUAGUUGAGGUUGGUUUGAAAAAAUAUAUGUUUGGUUAAAACUGUAGUUGAAAUUGAGGUUGAACAAAAAAUAGUUUAAUGUGUUUGGUUAAAAAAAUGUUUUUCAAAUUGAUGUUAUAAAAUCAUUAAUAUAUAUAUAUACUAAUAUUAAUUAUUUUUAAUUUAAAUAUUGUAGAUUUAACUACUGUUAUUACAUCAUGAAAUAAAUAAUAUUAAUAUCAAAUAUUUUUUAUUAUUAGAUUAAAAUAUAUGUAAUCUCAUUACAUAUGAAAUCUAUCAAACAAGGACUAUAUUUUUCAUGGUUUCUUAAGCGUGCAACAACAAAAACUGAUUUUUUAAAUUUAUAUAGUGUUAUUAAAUAAUAAAGAUUGUGAUAUAUUUAUUAUUGAAAUUGCGAUCAAAUUUCAUAAAUGCUACGUCAUCAUGCGAUAUCUUUCUAAUUUAUAUAGUGUUAUUAAAUAAUAUUAAAUACUAGUUUUUCGAGUAAAACAAUUUAAAAAAAUAUAUAUAAUUUCACUACGUACAAAAGUUAUUCGACAAAAACUACAGUUUUCAUGAUUUUUUGAGCAUGUAAUAAAAUUAGGUAAAAUAUUAUCACGAAUAAAAUUGAGAUUACAGUACGAGUAAAUUUAAUUCACCUUAAACUAAUUUUUUUAAAAAAAAUAUCGUUUACUAUUAACUGCACUGGUUUUUUAGGGGGGAAAAUAAACUUUGCUCACCGGUUUUUUUUUUUAAAAAAAUAAAUAAAUAAACUUUUCUUACAGAUUUUUUCUUUUUUUAAAAAAAGAAGACAUGGUGACAAUGGAGCCAUGCUCCACUGUUAAGUGGUUGUUACCCACGAGAAGCAGUAAAAAUAACGUGGACCCUAUCAAGCAAAAUCAAUCUUGCUUGAUUACCAAACAUUAAAAUAUGUGGCUGCGAGUAAACUCGCCACACUACCAAACAACAUCUAAAGUCUUUAAUUGUCUUGCAUUUAUCUUUAAAACUGCUAUAAGAAUUAAUUAAUUGUGUCAAUUCAAUUCUUUCGAUUGACAUUGAUGCCAAACAUGUUAAUUCAUGAUAUAAUUAAGCAAUUCAAUACAAAUUUACUAAUAUAAUUUAUUUCGGCUUAAACCUUUGAAUAAAGCAAAAUGCAGAGGUUGUGAAAGUGAAAUACCUUAAUAAUUUUUAUGCUUUACAACUCUAGGAGCCACACAAAAUAUAAUGCGUUUGUUACUAUUUAUUUGUUAAAAAGUAUUUUUUUUAUUAAAAAAUGAUUUUUUAAAAAAUAAAUUGAAAAAUAUUUUUUAAUAUUUGAUUAUUUUAUAUAAAACAAGCCAAAAAAUAUUUUUUUAAUUUUCUUCUCAAAUUUAUUAAAAGAAUAAGAAACAAAUAUUUCAAAUAAAAAUAUUGAAGGAAGAUGAAAUUAAAAAAUAUAUAUAUUUUUAUAAAUUAUUUUAAAUAAAAUAAAUAAUAAUUAGAAGAAUAAGAAACAAAUGAAAAAUUAAAAAAUUAAAAAAAAAUAAAACAGAAAUAAAUAAUAAUCAAAAUAAAAAAUUAAUACAAAAAUAAUAUUAAACCAAUAAUUUAAUUUAAAAAAAAACAAAAUAUAAUUUAUAAUUUAUAAUUUAUUUAUUUGCUUUAUCAAUGAAAAGUGAUGGUAGGAGGGAGAGAGAGAGGAAAUAAAGUGAAGUCUUCUGCUGCCUGAUCACAUCACGUGAAGAGCUUGGCAUUUAGUGAAGUUUUUCCGAUCAAACCCACUUUUUUCAAAGAUGGAAUUUAUUGGAAAAUAAAUGAAAGACAAACCGAGUAAAAUGGAGUCCAGAGCAUACAAGAGCCGAGAUUGAAACAGGAAAUGCAAGAAAAAGAAGAUGGGCCCUUGUUUUCUCUUUUUACGGCCGGCGACCGGAUAUAAAAAGGGAGGAGAUGAAGCUUUCAAAUUAUUUUCAAUUUUGCGGUCACUUAUUGUGUCCAUGUCAUUUUGUGUAAUUGCCCAGCUACCGGUACUAUUUUAACACUGUUAAAAGUCUAAAUCAUCAAUAUUUCCCCAAUUUAUCUCUAAAAAAAAUUCACUUCAAUUAAUAGCAUUUUUUUAUUAUUUCUUAUGUCAAUGUUUACCUCUUUUUGAUAAACUCGUAUAUUUUUGUACCAGAGGUCUAAAAUUAUUCUGUCCACUUAUUACUUAUUUAAAUUUAUUAGAAUGUUUUAAAUAACUUUUUUAAAUUUUAAUCCCAGAGUUUACAUGCAUAAUACAUGAGUUAUAUAAAUUAUGAUUCAAAAUAUUGUUAUAACUAAAUUAAAAGAAAAAUUCAGAGUUAAUUUCUUGAAUAUUAAGUUUUCUGAUUUUUCUAUAUAAUUAAUUUUUUAAGUUGAUUUGAUUAGUAUUAUUAUACUUUUCUCAUUCUCGAUAAAAGAAAAAAGAAAAAACCAGAAGAGUAUUUUCUUUCUAUUGAAAAUAUUUGUGGUUAGAAGAAAGUAAUUUUCACUGGAGUGUCGUUUUGGGAUGCAACAUGAACUUGACCUGUCUAAUUUGUACGGCAUGAGAAGAUGUUGCUUUACAUGGCUUCCUCCUUAAAAAAAUUCCAUCACAUUUGAGAAUUUUGUUAUAAAAAAGAUAUCUCUUUUAAAGAAGAAAAGUGAUACCUAAAAUUUAUAAAUGAUCUAAACUCUUAAUUUUUAAUCGAUGUAAAAUGUUAGAGUAUCAUGUUCCUGAAAAAAUCUUUCUAAGUGUAUAAUAUGUUGCAUUUGGGGCAAAAUUAAUAGUUUUGAAUGUUUUUAUUACUGAAACUUUUUUUUUUCUCAACCUCUUUUUCUCUCUCUUCUUGUCAAAUACAAAAGGUUUUUUUUUUAAUUUUUUAAAUAAUUUUAUUUUUAUUUAUUUUAUUUUUAUCUUUUGUAGAUUUGUUUUUUUAUUUAUUUUGUUUUUUAUCGUUUGAUUUUAUUUAUUUUUUUAUUAAACAUUAACUUUAUUUUUAUUUAUUAUUUUUUUAAUUAAACAUCCUUUUUAAUUUAUCUCUUAAUAUUUAAUUUUAAUAUCAAAUUUAAUUAGUCCUAUUUUAUCUUACACUUUAAAUUCCUACAAGUACCCGAUCAAACAAUAUCUGCAUUCAAUUAAAACUUAUGGUACAAUUACCUCAUAGCGAAAAAAAAAAAAAAGUAGAGACCAACUAAGAAAUUUAUGUGCUGUUCCCAGCUAUGUUGCUGACAUUGGACAAGAGAGACUUCUUCAGCCACCGAUAAAAUUAUUUUUGUUGACUUUUUGUGCAGUUUGUCACUUUGCUUCGAUCUUUCUCUCUUUGCACCACAAACACUUGGACAUGGUAGAUACCAAGCACGGUUUUGCUGUCAAUGUACGAUACCAUAUUUGACAAUAUCUUUUUUUUUCUUUUUUCUUUUUUAUGAAGAGUAGUAUGUUGGUUAUCUAUGUAUGUUUUUUAAAAAAUCACAUAUAUAUUUAUCUAAAAUUAUUGAUAUUUAAAAAAUUACAUUAUUUUUUUAAUAAUUCGUUCCGCUGUUCUUUUAGAAUUAAGCGAAUAUUAUGCAAAGCUUCAAGUUUUGUGUAAUUGUUUUUAAUACAAGAGAGUUUAACCAUUUUAAAAUGUUUAAUGAGUUAUUUAAAAUAUUGAAAGUAAUGUACAAUAACUAAUUUAUAAUUUUAUCAUUGCUCUUGCUUUAUUAUAGGUCAAGUCAAGAUUUUCUUAAAAAUAAAAAAUUAUUUAAAUUGUGAAUGUUUUAAUUUAUUCUGGUAAAACAAAUUUAAAUUGUGUGGUGAUUUAACUUGAUUGAAUUUGUAGUUUAAAAAACAAUCUAGAUAACCAGUAAAAAUAUAAUUUAACUCGUAAAAAAUUUCAAGAUUACAUAUAUUUUUUUAAUAUUAAGAUAACAACAAAUUAAUUGAUUUGGGUCAACUCAAUUUAACUUAUUAAAUUCAUAACCCGAGUUAUGAGAUUAUGAUAACCAUGUAGAAAAUAAAUUAUUAAGUCUAAUUCUCAACUACCAAAUAUUAAAAGAUAAAAUUAAAAUAAAUAAAUAAACCAUGUGGAGAUUGAUUCGAUGUGACUUAAUUGAUUUAGCUUGUUCAAAAACAACCCGGAUAAUCAGUAAAAAUAUAAUCUGACUUAGAAAAAAAUUCAAGAUGAUACUUUUUUUCCAAUACAAAGAUAAUAAAGUAAUAGAUUGAAUUGGGUUAACCAGAGUUAACUUGUUAAAUUUUUUAUCUGGGUAUAAGACUGUGAAAUCUAAUUCCUAUUCAACUAAAUAUUUAAUGGUAUAAUUGAAAAAUAAAAUCAAUUAAAAAAUGAUCUAAAAAUAUGAACAUAAUUAACAUGUCAAGUUCAUAACCUAUGUUAUAAUAAAGAUACAAUCUUAUAGAAAAAAAAAAUCAAAAUAAAUUAUGAAGUUCAAUCUUAAAUAACCAAAUUUUAAAAGAUAAAUUUUUUUAAAAAGAACGUAAAAAUGACCCGAGUAAAUCCACCAAACUCAUAACUCGUUAUGAGAUCGAGAUAAUCUUAUAUAAAAAAAAAUUACAUGAUUUAACUCGUCAAAUCUAUGACUUUGGUAACAAGACCAAGACAACCUCUUAAAGAGUAAAUAAAAAUAAAUUAAAAGUGCAAUCCCUAAUUGACCAUGUCAAACUCGAUGUGAAUGAUGCAAUUUCUAAAAAUUUAAAUUAAAAAAUAACAUAAAAAAUAAUUUAGACCAACCCGUCAAGCAUCAUUAUUAGAUUACGAGGCUAGGAUAACAUAAUAAAAAUAAAAUCAAAACAAACCACAAAGUCUAAAUUCUAAUAAAAUAUAUUAUUAAAUAAUAAAAUUGAAGAAAAAAAAUUAAUUAAAAGAAAUUCGAGUCAAUUAGGCUAACUUGCUAAGCCUGUGAGUUAGGUUAUAAAACAAAAAUAACCCAAUAAAAAGUAAUUUCACUAUUGAAGGACUCGUGAUCUACGUCAUGAAAUCAACAUAACCUCUUACAAACAAAAUAAAAAAAAAACAACUCAAUUUAAUUUGGAUUAAAAUGUCAAAACCUCCACCUCUAAUCAUAAAACUAGGAUAAUUAUAUAGAAAAUAAUUUGAAAUAGAUUAUGAAAUUCCAUUCCCAACUGACAUUAUAUCAAAUGAUAAAGUUAGAAAAAAAAUUCAAUUAAAAAAAUAUAAAAUAUAACCCGAGUCAAUUUAGGCUAAUAUGUUAAGUAUUAUUUCCAAUUUAUGAGGUUAGAAUAAUCUAAUACAAAACAAAUAAAACAAAAUAUGAAACUUAAUUUUUAAUUAAAAGAUAAAAUUGUAAAAAAAAUUUAAUUAAAAAAAAUCAAGUUAAGUGAGUGAAUCCAUUAAAUCUACAAUUUUUAUUAUAAAAGUGAGACAACUUAAUAAAAAUAAAUUAAUAUUAAAAUAAAAAACAUUCAAUAAAAAAAACACUCAUUCAGAUAAUUGUAUAAAACAUAAUAAUAUAAAGUAUAAUUUAUGAUUUAUUUAUUUAUUUUAGCAUUUAGUGAAGUCUUUCCAAUCAAACCCCUUUUUUUUUUUUAUAAUUUAUAAAAAAUAAAAAUAUUUUAUUUUAAUAAAUGUUUAAAUAAAAAACAAUAAGAGACAACCGUGACCACUUAAAUGGACUCCUAAGCACACCAAGUUAAGAGUUAAAGAGCCGAGAGAGAAAAAGCUUUUGCCAGUUCUUUACACAUUCUUUCCCCUUCUGUCACCUGAACAAAAUCCCCUCUUCUUCUUCUUGUUUGUUUACUCUUCCUUCGUUACUUUGCAAAGAGGAGAAACCAUGGCCGGGGCUUUAGUAGGAGGAGCUUUUCUUUCUUCUUUCCUUAAUGUUUUGUUCGACAGGAUGGCCUCUCCCCAGGUGAUUGCCUUCUUCAGAGGCCAAAAAGUCAACGAUAGUAGUCUGCUGCAGAACUUUGAAGAAAACAAUGACAUCUCUCAGGGUGGUGCUUGAAGAUGCUGAGGAGAAGCAGAUAACAAGUUUAACUGUGCGGGAUUGGCUGGUCGAUCUUAAAGACGCUGUCUAUAACGCCGACGACUUCUUGGAUGAGAUUGCUUAUGAAGCUCUACGGCAGGAGUUGGAAGCUGAAGAGCAAACCUUCACAGGUCAGACGCAGAAGCUUCUUUCUUUCAUUAACCCACUUGAAAUACUGGGGUCGAGAGAGAUCGAAGAAAAAAUAGAAGUCCUUUUGCAGGAUCUAGAUCCCUUAGUUGCAGGAAUGGCAGCCCUUGGUUUGAACAACCGCAAUGUAGAAAAUCCAUCAUCGCAUAGAACACCAACAACUUCUCUCGUGGAUGGAUCUGGUGUUUAUGGCAGAGAUGAUGACAGGGAAGCAAUACUGAAGUUGCUUCUAUCAAAGGAUGCAAAUGGAGGAAACCCUGGUGUCGUCCCCAUUAGGGGAAUGGGCGGGGUUGGUAAAACCACGCUUGCUCAGCUUGUAUACAAUCACAGAAGAGUACAGAAGCGGUUCGACCUCAAAGCUUGGGUUUGUGUUUCAGAAGAUUUCAGUGUUUUGAAGUUAACCAAGGCGAUCCUUGAGGGGUUCGGUUCAAAGCCUGCUUCUGAUAAUCUGGAUAAGCUCCAGCUUCAGUUGAAGGACAGAUUGGAGGGAAAGAGAUUCUUGCUUGUUUUAGAUGACGUUUGGAAUGAAGAUUAUGCUGAGUGGGACAAGUUGCUUACCCCCCUGAAGUACGGAGCACAAGGGAGUAAGAUUCUUGUCACAACACGCAAUGAAAGUGUAGCAUCAGUCAUGAGAACUGUUCCAACUCAUCAUCUAAAAGAAUUGACGGAAGACAGCUGCUGGUCCUUGUUUGCCAAACAUGCAUUUCGUGGUGAAAAUCCCAAUGCUCAUGAAGAGUUGCUAGAGAUUGGAAGAGAAAUAGUGAGAAAGUGUAAAGGCCUUCCUCUAGCUGCGAAAACACUCGGAGGUCUGCUACGCACCAAAAGAGAUGUCGAGGAGUGGGAGAAGAUAUUGGAAAGCAAUCUAUGGGAUUUACCCAAAGACAAUAUCCUCCCAGCUUUGAGAUUAAGUUAUCAUCAUCUCCCGUCACAUCUGAAGCAAUGUUUUGCUUAUUGUGCCAUAUUUCCAAAAGACCAUGAAUUUCAAAAGGAUGAAUUAGUGCUCUGUGGAUGGCAGAGGGCUUCUUAGUCCCUCUGCAGUAGAUGAUG
rnacentral:lncRNA from 1 species